AGGGGGAUGUUUGCCCGGAAACCGGGAAAGGGAAUAACACUCGAAAUGUAUAUAAGAAAUACUCAAGUUAAUAAAAAAAAAAAAAAAAAUUCACCAAGGGAAAGAGAAAUGUGGAGGUGCUAUUAUAUGUAUGCACAUGCUUCUUUACUCACGACUAUAUAUGUUUCUGUAUGUAUGCUGCUCUUGGCUGUUUUCUUGAUGCAGAAGUUACAGUCCACAUACAUUUGAAGGAUUUUUUUGAGGUAGAAUUAUUUGCCAAUCUUCACAGGUAAGCUGGCAUGUAGGAGGCAGCAGUAGCAGUAGCAGCAACAGUGACAGUCUUCCAGUAUCUCAAAUUAUUACCUUCCUCAACAUAAUUGUCUUUAAAGCCAGUAGUUCAAGUGUAAAAUGGGUAAGUAGUUAAGUGAAAGGGGGAGAGAUUUGUGCCAAUCAUGUGAUUUUUUAAUAGUAAUCUACUAUUUUACAAGCAACAAGAUUGCAUAUAGACAUAGACUCCAUUUACCUUAAGCAGAAAAGAAGGAAGGAUGAAAUGAAGGAAGGGAAGAAGGAAAGAAGGAAGAAAGAGAGGGAGGGACAGCAAGGGAAGGAAAAAGAAGGAAGAAGGUUGUUGAUUCAGUAUCAGCUAAGGGGAGAAGAGUGAUUCGGGAGGACGUACAGCAAGCAGGAUAGACUGGAAGCUGCUGAUAGGAAGGUGCUAUUCAGAGCCUUGUGAGGAAACAUCAUUCAGACUGUCUCCCAGUUCUUUUUUUCUUUCAGAUAUUCUAACCAAGAACCAGAUCAGAGAGAGAGAGAGACAGAGACAGAGACAGAGACACAGAGAGAAAGAGACAGAGACAGAGACACAGAGAGAGAUACACACAGAGACAGAGACAGGGACACAGAGAGAGAGAGAGAGAGACAGAGACACAGAGACAGAGACACAGAGACAGAGAAUUGAGUUGGCUUAAAUUGUGAAUGCACUUGGUCUUGUCUGGGACACAUCUUAUCUAACCAUUUGCUACCAAUAGAAAACAGGAUUUCCUGAUACUUGAUACUUCAUGGAGAAAUGGAGAGUCAUGUGUAAUGGACCCUGGACACAGCAACAUGAAUGUAUACUUCCACAUCUUUCUUGGGACUCACCUUCUCUGACGGCGACUGCGAAAUGAAAGCACAUAUUGAAAUUGAUCUUUACAUGACAAUGAAUAAGUGGAUCCACAAAACAAACAGUAAAAGCAAGUGAUAAAGAAAGGAAGCUAGUAAGUGAAAUUGAUUUAUAUGAAGGGCUGUGCCUCCUCUUCACUGUCCUACAAGCCGCAGGACAGAAUCAGUGGCAGUGUUGACUCCAACAGUCUGCCCUGGCUGCUGUAAUAGGUUUCAGCCAUGCUCUGCUUUAUUGCAUUUUGGACAAAGAGGAGGAAAAAAUGCACUUGAGUUUGCAUGUAGGAGCACCUAGUUCUUAAAGUUAGGAGAUUACAGUUAGGAGAUCUUGAAAGAAAGCAUUCUUGAUAGGAUAAAAGGACUUUAAUUCGUUGCUGUUAGCAUUAUACCUCAACAUGUACUUCUUAUGUCCUGUCUCUGUGCUUUUGAGUGAAUCUGUUUCCUAAACCAUGAUAUAGCAACAUUCUUCUUUCCCAAGAAUAUUCUCAGUACCAGAGCAUACAGGAUAAUAAUCACCCAUUUUUAGGACAUUUAGCACAGUAUCUCACAGAUCUGUAACAUGUGAAGGUUGAUGUUGACUUUUGUAAGAAAAUGACUGUUAACAAAUGUCUGGUAAUAAUUAAGUCCUUACUCCGAGCCAGUCUUGGUGAGUUUUGUGUUUUGUUAUCUUACCUCUCACCAUUUAACGUCUGCAACUUGCCAAUAGUUGCUGCCAUGAUAUCUAGGUUUGGAAUGGUGAAAAGUCAUCUUUGGCUGGAGAGAGGUGAGAUUAGCCCAGACCAGUGACUUUCAAUCUUAAAACUACUGAUGGGUGUCAAGAGGCUUGUCUAUGCAUGGUUUAGUGCAAUUUAGGACUCUAAUUAUUGUGUGUAAUUGCCAUUUUCCCACUUUGACAGUAAAAAUUAUUUCCAAAGAUCAGUAGAUAUUCCUAUGAGGAUGUAAGUGGAAGCAAGAUGAUGCUGGCUGAAAACUGCUAGCCUAGUUAGGUGGUCACACACACACACACACACACACACACACACACACACACACGGGGGGGGGAUGGAGGCGAGGGGGAGUGACGUUACACCCAUGCUUUGGGGCCUCAGACUUAAUGAAAAGAAAACAGGCAGAACACCCAUGCUCUUCUGUCCCUGUUUCCUGACUAGGAAGCAAUGUGAGCAGCUAUUCACACUCCUACCACUGUGUCUUCCCAGCCUUGAAUGGAACAUAAACCCGUGAGCCCACAUAAGCCCUCCAUUCUUUCCUUAAGUUGGUUUUCCAGGUAUUUUGUUAUAGCAGCAAGAAGUAGUUCAUACUGGCAGUAUACAAUAUUGCCCCCUAUAUUCAACCAGACCCUUCUUAGGUUCAGCAAAUCUGAAGGCCAAUGUGUUGUAAAAGCCAAGCACUACAGCAGGUACUGGAAAUGCAGAGGAAAGACCUAGGCUUACCUCAGUGGAGCCCCCUACCAUAGUCAUGUAGAAUGACUAUCUGACAGCCAUUUCAUAAUGAGAAUAAAAACAGCUGUUGCUAAAAGUGACAUAUAGGAGCCUGUGAAUUGACUGAAGGAGAGCCAUUGACAGUUCCAACAUUGGCUUAAAUAUAAGCAUGUUUUUUUUUUCCUAUGUCAGAAAGAGGGACUUGGGUUCUCCUGUAUCUUGACAGAACUUAGAGAAAAUACUUGGUGACUGGAAAUAAUAAGUUUUUCUUGGCUCUCCUAUCAGAAAAAUGCAAAUAUUUGUGGUCCUUCGUUUAUGUUGUAAACACUCUGUCAAGUUCUUAGGAUUGGAAAGUAUGAGUCAGUUUUGUUUGUUUUGUUUUGUUUUGUUUGUUUCUUGGUUUGUUCUAAAGGUUUGCAGUGCACUAAAGGUCAUUUUGCUGGGUAAAUGCCCUUGAUUUUAUCACUGCUGGCAUUUUUGAUCUUGCCCAUGGAGUUCUAAUCUUGGUUAUCAUUGCUUUCUUAAAUGGAGUCUAACAGUUGAAAUUUCUCUCCUAGAAUAUUAAAAAAAAAUAGCCCCCAAGUAAGCCCCAUUCAAUUUUAUUUACAUUAUUAGAAGAAACAUUUAUUAAGGAGACUUUUUUAAAAGUGGUUAACUAGAGUAAUAAUUCACUUUUAUUGAUUUUUAAACAUUUAAUAUUCUUUAAUAGGUAUAUUGUUAAUACAAAUAUUUAGCUAUAAGUCACUCUUAAAGAAUUCCUUGUAACCAUGUGGCUCUGUAAGUGUCAUCCAUUGUCCUUGCUCCCGGAGCCCUCUGCAGCUAACUACCUCCACUUUUCAACAUGGCAUCUUAAGUACUGCCAGGGAUGCUUAAGUGCCAGUGCCCUUGGUGCUCCAGUCACAGAUAUACACAUUCAUUUCCAGAGAUGGCACUGGGUGGCUCUCUGGAAUGGACAUUAAGUACGGCUGAGGUCAGGGUCUGUGAAAGCAAACCCAAGCAUCUUCAGGUUGCGAAAUGAGUUUUUAAAAUUGCCUGAAGACCAACCUUCUAAUUGCUUUCCCUCUUUGCCAGCCUCUGUGGCUGUAAUUCUGCUUUUUCAGACUGUCACUUCAAUGCCUCCUUUCCUGUCUUUGUCUACCUAGGCUUUUGUCUUGAAAGGAAGUAAGUGCCUCUUCAGGAAAUCUUCGUGGUAGGCUCCCAUUAUGCUCUGUGUAGAUGAGAGUGUUUCCUUUGUGUGCUAAAGCAGGGAUCCUCUCUAAACCAUUGCAUGAUACUAUAGAUGCCUGUAAAAUCAGAACAGAGCUCUGGGCAAGAGCAUCCCUAGACAAAGGUGGUCCUUGAAAAGAGGUAAUUGUUCCAUGUGUUGAUAUGACAGUGAGUGAAACUUGCCGAGACAGUGGGCCACGGUGCCGUUCUUUUCAUUUUGUAGACUGAACAGCCUCUUCAUACCAAGUACCAUGCUUACCAGUGAAGAGUCAGUGAAGUUCCCCAGCCUUCAGGGAACUGAGGCUCUUGUUUUGUUUUAGCCUCUUUAUAGUCCUUGGGGACUCUUGCUGUUUUGUUGAAGGUAAAAUAUUCUUCUUUCUAAACCAAGUUUCUGAAACUUAGGUUAAUAUGAAAAUAAGAAUCUGUCAGAAAUAUGAGGUAUAUUAUUAUUGGAAGAGGGAUUUGGUGAGUGAAGCAAAUUACUAAUCACUUUUGCAAAUCAAGUUUGAUUUGUCCCCCUAAAGGACUUGGGCAAUUUGUAGAACUGAUGAUGUCUUCUAUAAGGUACAUGAUAGAGCCAAAUUAUGUAGUUUUGCCAAAGUCAGUAGUUAUACCUAAUGUUUAUAGUAAUGACUGUCAUGGUCACAAAAUUCGAGCAAGGUAAUUGGAAGCCACAAGAGAAUGUGAGGAGCCUUGCAGUGUCAUGGCUGACUUCUGUCACUGUGUGCUCCUUGGAAAACUUUCUCUCUCCCCAUCCCCCCCCUUUUUUUUUGAAACUGAUUGCAAGUUAUUCUUAGUGUUAGACAGGAAAACAAAGCCCAUGAAUGACAAGACCAAAUGCACUUUACCCCACUGUUUUGAAUAAGGCUUGAUGUGGAUGUCCAGGGAUUUUCUUUUUCUUUGAAAACCCUUCUGUAAGUAGAAUGCAAGAUGCUAAAGAUCAGGAGAUGGGAGGAGUCAGAGUGCUGUGGGAAACAAUAGCCCCUUAAUAAGACUCUUGGUAAUCAGGCAGGCCUUUGUUGUCUGUAGUUAGGGAUGGGGAGGGACAGGCUGACCAUUCUGAGGUUGCUGUCAUCACAGACUGGCACGUUUCUAAUUACCCAUGAAAUGAAGGCUUCGGAGCAGAAAUGGCCACAGCACUCAGCCACUUGGGUAUCUGAUUAAGGCCAGCAAGCCUUGGAAAGACCAAUCUGUGACAUUGCGCUGAUCUAAAAUCUUUUUCCAGACUCAUUUGAACUAUUUUUUACUCAUUUCCUUUUGCCUUUUCUAUCCAUGCUACUCACCCCUCUCCUCCUUUUUUUGUACACAAAUUCUUGAUUUGUUAGGUGAGAAACCCAGUACCUAGGAUUUAAGAGAUGGUGGUUUUACCAGUAACACUCUCAUUUUCUUGUGUAUUGUCUGUAUGAUCUGGGAAUGCUUCCUCCAUGCUGAGCAAGUGCUCCACCACUGAGCCAUGCCCUCUACCCAGGGGAAGAUUCAAGUCUUAGAAGAGUUCAGAGCUGAAAUUGUAGAAAAACACUGGAUACUAGCCUGGAGAAGAGCCAGGCCCCACCAUAAACAUGGAGGGUAGAAAGCUACCUAAGGGCUGAGCUAUACUAAGAGAUCCUAAGAAGGUCAUAGAAAAAGACAAAAUCCCUCUCUUCUCUCCUUUUAGGCGCUACCUUGUAGCUAAUAUUUCCCAGGGGAUGGGGAUUUCGCUCAGUGGUAGAGUGCUUGCUAGGCCCUGAAAAAAAAAUAUUUCCUGUUGCCUGGACCUAAGCAAAAGUUUUGGGAAAAGGAGUCAGCUACAGGCUUGUCUGAGUCACAUAUUCAGAUAUUGUUUCUAAAAAAAUAAAAUACUUAGCCACUGUGACUUUUCACAUGGUCCUGUGGAAUCCAGUGCAGAAGCUUACUUCAAAAUUCUGUCCCUGUAAAUCUUUAAAUUACCACAGGGCACUGGCUUGUGAAAUUCCUCAGACAGAGAAAACCCAACAUAGCUGCCUUUCAUGUACAUGGAACCAUGAGAGAAGCCUCACAUACUUUACGCCGGCAGAUUGACUUGUCUUUGAUCUCAACAUACAGAACUAAGGGCUUCACUAAAAGUGGGUUUUUAUGCAGCCUCCAUAGGCAAGGCAAAACUAACUGCAAAAGAAAAUAUCCUUGGUCAUGGAUAGAAUCUUCAAGCCUUGUAGGAGCUUUCUGAGUCAGGUGCUCGGGGCAGGCAGGCCAUGCGAAUGAUUGGAUUGAUCUGGUGAGAGGCAGCAGAGUGCGGAGUGUGCUGGGAACUGUUUAGCCCCAGCCCUCUGUAAAGGCAGUGGUUGCUAUGCAGCCAAGAGGAAUAGAAGCCUAGCCCCCCAUCAAUCCCCCAUCCCCACUGCCCAACUUCUUUCUCUUUUCUUACCAAAGAACCCUUAACCUGUUUUAUUUUUAUUUUAUUUUUUUUAAAUGGGAAAUAAAAUCCUCUCACGUUUCCAUGUUGACAGCUACUGCUUUGUAAAGGGCAAGUCUGAAUGAACUGCUCCCUCACGGGGUUUGAGACCCCCCACCCAAGCUUAUCACUCUCCUGUGCUUCACUUUCUAACAGGUUUUUGGGGGUUUUUUUGGGGGGUGGAGGCUUUUUGUUUGUUUGUUUGUUUGUUUGUUGUCAAGAUAUGAUAGUAGCCGAGGAUAAUUUCAUGAUAGAUGAGAACCUUUGCUCUAGGAGUGGCCCCCUUGCCAUUUGUUUUGGCCAGUUUCCCAUGCAGUUUCCCCUGUCAGGGCUCUCUCUCUGUCCCUUGCUCUAGACACAGUCUUUGUCUCCUCCCUUUUUUAUGCCUCCCAUGGUAGACUGUUCCCUUCUCCAUUUCCUGAUUCACUAUUUAAAGGCAACACUUGAAAUCUCAUCCUGUAGAAUUCCAAUUAAUGCUGAACCCUGUUGCAACUCCAGUCCUAGACCUGGCUUUUAUGGAGUCAUGUGACCUGCUAAAACAUCCAUUUCUUUCUGAAGAACAGUUCUCUCCCCCAGAGCAAUGCUAUUGUCCAGGACCAGCCAGCUCCAUCAUGGCUCACUUAUGUAAGGCGUCCCUUUUUGUUCUCUUCCUGUAAUAGAACCAACUGUCUCAGACUAGUUCCUGAAGGCAGGCAGAGAGAGGGCAUGAUGAACUACAGAAAUGGGAUUUCUACAAAAGAAACUUUAAACUCUGUGGAGUGCAGUGAGAGGUAACACUUCAGACAGCUUGCCAAGCUGAGCCUCACAAAAACCUUUUCUUUUAGAAGACAUUAAAAAAAAAAUAAGGAAGUAUUAUGUAUCUCAGCCGAUGAGGUAGGAACUGGUUUCAAGGCUAAAAGGUGAUUACAGACACCCACACAGUUAUUGAGAGUGGUGUCCUACUUUGUAUUUUUGUUUAUUAUGGGCUGGAAGGAGGUAAAUUACAAACUCGUUGCCAGCCAAUAAUCAUUUUCCAGGAAAAAGGUAAUUUAUCCUCUGAAAGGCAAUGCUCACCUGCUCACCUCUUCUGAUUGCUUCAUUGUGUAUGUGAUUGUUAGACUGCCCACUGGACAGGAGAGAGGUACUUCUACCCUCUGGAUCUCAGGGGUAUGAGUCAGAAGACGCGUGAUCAUUACAGUGCCCUUCCUCUUGGUUACAAUGACCGGCAGCCAUUGUCAGAGGUGGUUCUUAGCUUUGCUCUCAUGAGUUCAACUUUGGGGGAAAGAGCUAGACACACUUCAUCAGAAGGCUGGGGAGGGGGAAACAGCAGUCAUCAUAACAAAAGAGAGAUGAUCCAGGUAAAGAAAACAACAGAGAAAAAAAGAAAGCAAGGGAGGGAGAAAGGAGAGAGAGGAAGGAGAAGGAAAGACAUGUUUUGUUUAAAAGAGCUGAGUUUUUAAUCCAGAGGCUGUGACAACAGGAAACCAUGCUCUGAUCCUUUGGCUAUAAAUGAAAUGCCUUAAGAUGGACUUUUGCUUUUAGGCCACUUAUUUAGGUCGUGCUAAGCAAAUUAUUGCAAUAACUCCCUAUACGUCCCAAAAACCUGACAAAGUGCAUUUUACUCUGAAAGGAUCAAUUGUCUGCCUCCAGAUAGUUAAUUAGCAUCCCCUCUUAGGAAGCUCUCCUGAUAUAGUUUUAUUCUAUUGUACAGGCUUUGCCCUUUUUAAUAUUUCUGAUUAUUAAAAUUGUCAUAUAUAUGCACAUAUAUAUGGAAACGUUUCUUAUUCAUAUUAUCUUAAGGCCUUUUGUGUGGCACAGUCAGAUUUACUGAAUCUCCUACCCCAGAAUAUAGAUUAUUUCCACCAAUCUUGCUUGUAAAUAUUUUCUUAUAUAACUUUCAUGAAAUCAAAUACAUCAAUUCUAGAUACCUGAUUCCUCCUAUAUAAAAGUUGACUUUCGUUCUGUCAUAAUUCUUAUAUUUUUUAAUACUCAAGCAUGUAAUUUAUGAAGAAGUAUCCUGUUUCAGAGAAACUACAAUUACACAAAACCAUUGUGUCCAAAUUACAAUGUGUUCUUAUUUUUGCACCAAACAAGUACACAGCUCAUUUAACGGGUCUGUAUGGGGAGAACAUCUGGGAAAGGCCUUGCUGCCCUUCUGGAAGCAAGUAACACAAUGCACUUGUUCCUAAAAUUUCCUUCAACUGUCAGUAAGUUUCCUCUUUUCCUCUUCAAGAUCUGACUUGCCAUCUGUGGAUCUUUCCUCCAGCUUCUACUUCCUCACCCAUGGCUAGAUUUCUGAGCAUGGCCGCUGUCAGUCUCCUGUGUGGUUAUCUUCUCUUUCCUCCCAUAGCAAUAUGAGAUUUAAAAGAAGGGGUUAUGGAAAUUGUUGACUCAAAUAAAGUGGGCAAAAUCCUUAGGUUCUAAUUAGCCAUACUCUUCAACUCAGAGAGUCAAUAUGGUUAGUGCCAGACUACAGUGCGGGUUCUUGAAAUAUAUACUGAGAGGGUACCAUGAAAACAUGCCACUGAUGUCUCUGUUUCAGGAGCCAAACUGGCUGAAGAGCCCUGAUGGUUCUACCAUCAUUUCAUGCUGAGACCAUAUUUUAGUACACACCUUUUAUUAUGGCAGCUGUCCAUCUCUCCUCCUGCCCGUCCAGCCAUUUUCUGGAACAGUCCUAGCACCCAAUCCUGAACCUUUCCCUUCCUGGUUCUGUUUCUCUGCCUUUAUUUCAAUCUCAGUUAUGCUCACAAUUCUAACCCCGACAGCAUACAGCAUAUCCUACUGCUCAAAGAUUCUGAACUCGAAAACACUACCUCUUUUUUUUCCCCCUUGCAGGUGUGUGUGUGUGUGUGUGUGUGUGUGUGUGUGUGUGUGUGUGUGUGUGUGUGUUUGAAAGGUCCUGUUUUGAAGCCCAGACUGAUGUAGAAACUAAUUAUUCUCUUCUUUCUGACAUGGAAAAGUAGUUCCUUGUUUCCCUGCUACACUUCUUUAUGUGAUUUUGUGAAGAGUGAAUCAAAACAAAAUACAAACAGAGCUUUUCCUUUUCUCCCUUUCUAGAAUAAACCCUAAGAGUGAAGAGGAUUAAAGUCUUCUUUUCAUUACGAUUCUAUAAAUGUUUUAGGGGGAAAGUGAAGAAUCCAUUUGCUUGAGUUCUAGGAUGUAACUUCCCCCCACAUUUCUAGACAAAGCCUUGAUAUGUAGCCUAGUUACCUUUAGACCCUCACUUUCUCUGCUUUAGUCUCCCUGGUGUUCUUAUUCCAGGCCUAUACCAUCUGGUUUCUUUCCUUCUAAAUUUUUAACAUUUAAAACUGAUAUAGUGAAAUAAAUUUCACUGAAUAGAACUUAAUCCCUAGAAUGUAGCAGUUUAUAGCAUAGUAUUACUAUCUUCAGUGUCCUCCCCAAACCUCCCCAUCGUUUCUUAAUGAUUCUCAUUAAGCAAAUGAUCGUUUCUUACUUGCAGCCCUAGCUCCAGUCCCCAGCAAGUUUAUCUGUUCUCUCCUCUGUGGAUGUAUCUACUUUGGGUGUUUUCUACAAAUGAAGUUACAAAGCACAAAACUCCAUUUGUGCCUAAGCUUCUUCCCCUUAGCACCUAUGGUUUAAUCUUCAUUGAUUUUCUCUUCAAAAAUAUUGUUGGUAUUAAUGAUUAUUCUUAAAUAAUCAUUUGGAGGUGAUUUUCUUUCAACAGCAUCUUAUUUUGAAGCACAAAGGUAUUUUCACUAUAUAUUUUCACUUUUUUCACCUCCCUCAUAAACUACCAGUUACAAGACUAUUUCCUGCCCGUUCCCAAGUAGCCUAUUAGCUUUGUCUCUGUCCCCACAUUAGAGGGACAGGUGGUAGGCAUUGGGUAACUCUCCAUGGUCUCAUGUAGCUGUCACAAGGAAAUUAAUUUUUUAUGUUUAAGUGAAGUAAAUAGAUGUUUCAUGUUCUAAGAGACAGUUUUUGAUAUUAUCAAUAAGAUCUUUUGGGCCAUGGUAGCACAGGCAUUUAUUCCCAGCACUUGGGAGGCAGAGGCAGGUGGAUGUCUGUCAUUGGGAAGCUGGGCUGUUCUUCUUAGUUCCAUCUAAGUAGCCAGAGCUACAUGAUGAGACCAUGUGUGCUCUGUGUACUAGUUAUCAAUGAGGGCUAGGCUAGUUAGCAUGGUGAAGGUUAGCAUGGGGAGUGGGCUCUGUGGGAGCCUUUGCUCUGGUCUACAGUGUGCUGUCUUUGGUGAGAUACACUGGUGUAGCCAGUAUUGUAGACCUGAUGUUAUCUACCAAAUAGGACACACCCCUUAGAAGCCAAAGUCAUUUUAAAGAUGAAGUUAAGCGCCGGUGAUUACAAAAACGUAAUGAUUCUGUCCAAUCUGGGAAAGGCAGCAGUUAACUCCAAAAGCUACUGUAAAUGGAUGUCACGUCCAAAACUGGGGAGUCCAUUUCUUUGGCGAAACGAAGCAAAUGCAAUCUGACCCCUUGUUCUACGUUUUUACUGAUGUUGGAACUGGUUCGUGGGGAUUUCUUCUGUAGCAUUUGGUUGAUGGAUAUCUUUGGGCUUUUAAACCUCCUUUCCUUUCUUUUGAGAGAGGUAUUUUCUUUCUUUAUCCAGAGCACAUGAAAGCCUCGGGAAGACUCUGUGUCUACCUCAGAAAUCCACUGUCUUUGGCUAGCAGAGCCACUACGUACACGUGUCUGUAACUUCUUAUUUCCUGUUCUAUAAAUUUACGCUCCCUUUUACUAGGGGGGACAAAGAAUAGUGAACGGUCAAGUGUGAAGUCUUUGUAAUCCAUUUAAUGUCCCUGUAUGGGGGUAUUAUGCACAUGUGUGCAAAUUCCUGCGGAUGCUCCAGGUCUGCCUCUGAUGCCAUUUCUCUGACAUCACUGCCUUUGAGAUAAGCUUUCUCACUGGCCUGAACCUUGCUGAGUAGGCUAGACUAACUGGCGACCAAAGACAGCUACUCCCAGGGAUCCCCCUGCCUCCACUUUCCAAGCACGGAACUUAAAAGAACCCACUGCUGUGUUUGGCUUUUCGCAGGAGGAUUCUGGGAUUGAUCCCAGGCACUCAUACCUGCAAGGCAACUUCCUCACUGACUGAACCAACUCCCCAGCCCUGGCUAGCACUUCUGAUCUCGAUGCCUAAAACCUGGCAUAGGACUGCAGGAAGACUCAUUUCUUCCUAUGCCGAUAUUAAAAAUUAAUAUUAAAAAGCUGGAUGCCUUCAAAUAAAGACUUUUAGCUUUUUUUGAUUUUUAGUGUGUUUGUCUAUAAAAUAGAGAAGAGGUUAUGAGGAGAGUUUAAGAGAACAACUACAUCAAAAGCUUACAAAGAAUCCUGGCACAGAGAAAAUAUCCGUCAAUUUCAGCUAAAAACGGUCAGGGUGACAUGGCUCAUGUCUGUCCCUAGUCUCCUCGCCUUGGAGGAAUUAUUAACUUCACAAAGCAUUACAGCUGUCAUAGCAGCAUGUUGGCCGAGUCCUUUCUAUCAACUCUGCUUUUGCCCCACAGCUGCUUCUGAAUGGUCAUACCCCACCACAUUGUGUUCCCCUCCUCAGUGGGACUUCUCCAGAGGCCCGAUUCUUUCUGCCCUUCUCCCCCCCAUUGUCACUUACCAGCCAGUUCCAGAUUCAUGAACUCUGGUUACUUCUACAGAGCUCUCUCCUCAUAUUUCGAAAGCCUCCGGGUCCUGUCUGUUCUUCACGCACUAUCUCUUUGUCAUGUAUCUGCUUUUACUUCUUCACUCAGAGCCACAGAUCAAAUCUUGAGACUCAGCAGUUCCUUGCUUGCUUGCUUGUUUAGCUUUGUUUUUUUUUUUUUAAUUAAACUGGUGCUAAUGGUGGCUAUAAGUAUCACAAGCAACAGCUACAUUAAACCUAGUGCAUACUGGGUUCUUUCCUUCUUCAGAAAUCAUCCUAUGAAUGCAUCAGUGAACUUACCUCUCACAAUGGUCUGAGUCUGACAUAGGUCCUACUUACGGUCUCAUCAUACAGGAGGACAGUGAUGCGCAGAGACACAAAGGCUCAUGCAGAAAAUCCUGGUGCCUAUAAACUAUAGCUCCAUACAGUAGGCGCAGGAUGCGAAGCCAGCCAGUGUGACUAGGGCAACUGUGCUUUUUCAUUCUUUUCUUUGUUCCAGUAUUCUUCCUGAUUACACUAUGAAUCUUCUACUUAGGGUACUAUUGCUGCCAAAGGAAGGCAGAAUUAAUGCUCCCCCUACCCUUUGAAGUAUAGAGGAAGUCAGGCAUGCUACCUGUGUUCUUUUCCUGUUGCUAUGACAAAAUAUCUUACAGUCAGAGUCAAAAGGAAGAAGGAUCUACACUGGCCCAUGGUUUCCUGGAGGGUAUAGCAGAGGUCUCUCUGACUGGGAGACUGUGGAGGACACUCUAGAUUUGUCAGUGGACCAGAUAGCAGAAAGCUAGUCUGGAAGCAGGAUCAAGCUGUAACUUUCAAACCUCUGCUCUGCUGACUGACUUGUUAGGUAGGGCACAUUCCCAGUGUGUCCACAACAAUACUACCACUGGGCAGCAAACUGGGGACCCAAUCCUAUGGGGACCAUUUCACAUCUAAGCCAGAGGUAGCCAUUUAUCUGUCCUGGGUUCCACAGUUCUCAUGAAAUUUCUUUUACUGUGACUUAGAGAAUUCCUGGCCAUCCCUCGAACUGUCUCUCAAGUUUGUCUCAAUUUCUUCCAUCAUUUUAUGAAUAUUUUUAUUCAUAAAAUAUUUUUACCAAAUAUUCCAAUUUUUACAUUCAACCCUGGCCCACCUGGUCCAUUAGCCUUACUACCUUGCGUUCCUCACCACUUUUCCACCCUGAUCCACGAAGCUGUGCUACUUGGUGACCAUGUCCAAAGAGACCCUUCUUUCUUUUUCAUUCAACAAUAUUUACUUAUGGCAGCCCCUCUGUUAUACAUCUUUCCAAAUGACUCCAGAUGGUUAUAAAAGAAUUCUCUUUGAACCAUCUUGUACCACAGAAUAGCAAACACACUCGGAGGCCUAUAGGAGCCAGCUGGGAAGAGAGCUGAAGAAUACAAAGAGGGUUGGAAGCAUUCUAUCACCGCUUUAGGUAUUCUUGGCCAUUUAGGAUGGCAUACAAGAUUGCUAGAUGCCUUUAUUUUUGAAGGAGCAAGAGAAAUGUAGACUUUUGCAUGCAUGCCUCUGAAUUUUUAUAAUUGCCGAUUGAUAAACAUAAACAUGUGUUGGGAAAAUGAAUUUUUAAAUGGGAAGCUACGAGUUUCUUCCACCUCUGGGUGUAAAAAUGUGUCCCUCAGAUGCUCCAAGGAAAAUCUCUUACCAGGAAAAUAGGCUUUCCAUCUUUGUGUUCUUAUCCUUCUUCCUAAAAGAUUGAAAAAACAGACUUGGUAAUAAGCUUAAGAACAAUUUUCUUAGAAUCAGAGAGAAAAGAGUGUGGUAGGAGAACUACAAAUCACAGCAGCUGCCAAGAAUAGGUGCAGAGAAGAGGAUGGCAGAAAGCCACACCUUUUGAGUCAGGCUGGCAUGCUCAGCAGUGAAGGUGAGCAUGCAACCAAAUGCUAGUAAACUGCUCAAGGUGAAUUUGAGGCAGCUAGGGAAAGCCGACAAUCUCAGAAGAAAUGUGCCUAGGCUUCGCAUGUAUCUGAAACUAAGAGACAAAGAAGAAAUUAUUUUUUUCUGAGACUGGCUCAGAAGUGUGGCCAGACUUAAGAGUCCUUCAUAGUUGUUUUUAUAAGCUUGCACAGACAUGGAGCUUCUGAGAAGGACAAGAACAUCAUCUCAUUGUUUGGGUGACUGUGCCACCCGUCUCUGUAGUAUGACUUUAGGUGAAUCACCUUUUCUUAGUGGGGAUCUGUUGGCCAGGUCCUUGUCAGAUCCAACUGUAUUAACUCUUGCUUUAUUAUUUUUUGAAAUGUAACUUCUGUAUAUAUAUGCUUUGCUCACGUGUACAGAUCUGUAUCCUGUAUGUUCUUGGAGCAUAUGGAGGGGGUUGGCACACUUGAUAUUGGAGUUAUAGAUGGUUGUGAGUCUUGAUGUGGUGCUAGGAACUGAACUUGGAUCCUCUGAAACAGCAGCAAGUUCUGUUAAUCCCUGAGCCAUCCCUCCCCAGUCCCUUGGGUUAACUCUUUUUCCCCCAUUUUUAUUUAAUAUGGUAUUUCUAAUUUACAUUUCAAAUAUUAUCCCUUUCCCGGUUUCCUGUCCAUCAGUCCCUUAACCCCUCUCCUUCCCCUUGUAUAAGUGUGUUCCCCUCCCCAUCCAUCCCCUGCUUACCGCCUCCCCAAUAACCCCCUAUACUGGGGGUCCAAUUUGGCGGUACCAAGGGCUUUCCCUUCCGCUGGUGCCCCAACAAGGCUGUUCACUGCUACAUAUGAAGUUGGAGCCCUGAGUCAGUCCAUGUAUAAUCUUUGGGUAGUGGUUUAGUCCCUGGAAGCUCUGGUUGCUUGGCAUUGUUGUUCUUAUGGGGUUGCAAGCCCCUCAGCUCUUUCAGUCCUUUCUCUAAUUCCUCCAAUGGGGGUCCUGUUCUCAGUUCAGUGGUUUGCUGCUAGUAUUGACCUCUGUAUUGGACAUGCUCUGGAUGUGUCUUUCAGGAGAGAUCUAUAUCCGGUUCCUGUCAGCAAGCACUUCUUAGCUUCAUCCGUCUUAUCUAGUUUUGGUGGCUGCAUAUAUAUGGGCCACAUGUGGGACAGGUGCUGAAUGGCUGUUCCUUCAGUCGCUGCUUUAGACUUUGCCUCUCUAUCCCCUACUGUGGAUAUUUUUGUUCCCCUUUUAAAGAAGGAGUGAAACAUCUGCAGUUUGAUCAGUCUUCUUGAGCUUCAUGUGGUCCGUGCAUUGCAUCUUGUGUAAUUUGAGCAUUUGGGCUAAUAUCCACUUAUCAAUGACUGCACACCAUGUGUGUUUUUCUGUGAUUGGGUUACUUCACUUGGGAUGAUAUUUUUUAGUUCAUUCUAUUUGCCUAUGAAUUUCAUGAAGUCAUUGUUUUUGAAUCCAUUCCUCUGUUGAAGGGCAUCUGGGUUCUUUCCAGCUUCUAGCUAUUAUAAAUAAGGUUGCUAUGAGCAUAGUGGAGCAUGUGUCUUUGUUGUAUGUUGGAGCAUCUUUUGGGUAUAUGCCCAAGAGAGGUAUAUCUGGGUCCUCAGGUAGUGCAAUGUCCCAUAUUCUGAAGAACCUCCAGACUGAUUUCCAGAGAGGUUGUACCAGUUUGCAGGCCCACCAGCAAUGGAGGAGUGUUCCUCUUUCUCCACAUCCUCGCCAACCAGUUGUAGGAUCGGUAAAGAUCUUUUCUCAAUCUGUUGGUUGCUGUUUUGUCCUAAUGACAGUGUUGGAUUAACUCUUAAUGGAGAACAUACUAAUAUAUAAUGUUCUAAUCUCCAGAGCAGACCAGAAUAUUAUGUCUCCAUUGAGGGAUGGGGUAAACUUCAUUCUUUUAACUAGGAGGAAGGAGUUUUCCCUAAACAGUUCUUGCCCCAAUGUCCUUUACGAAUAUGAAGUAGACAGAACCCAUUUUUAUCAUGAAAAUCCAAGGAUCGCACCACAAAGCUGUAUUCACUCAAUGGAUGAGUGUCAGAAGUGUCAACCCUAGCCUCACAGAGCUGCAAAGCAAAGAACAUCCUUUAGAAAAAGAGAUCAUAGGAACUCAGACAGCAGACAUUCUUCUGGCUUUCCUCACCUUCACCAAGAAAUCCCAAAACUGCUGCUCUGAGUGUCUCUGUCUAAGCUACUGAGACAGUUUCUUCCAUUUCCUGUCUUUAUUCAUUUAUGUUGUGUGACAUAUAAGUUGUUUCUAUACUCGGCCACCUUUUUCUAUGUUUGUGGGGGAAAAAAGCAUUGUCAUUUAUUUUCUUUAUGAACACACACACACACACACACACACACACACACUUUUCAACAAUUAGUAUGAUUAGUUUAAGGACUGUUAAACCUAACAAAUACCCAAUAGACUUGUCUGUAUAAUUAAUCAGCCACAAGUGAAAGGUUGUUUGCAUAUUGCUAUCUCUCUUAAUAGUAAAUUUUUUAAGUUACAUUUUACUUAUUUAGUGUGUCUGUGUAUGUGUGUUGAUACCUACUCCUUCACAGGAUACAUGUAGAUGUCAGAAGAUAAUUUGUGGGAGUCAGUUUUGUGCUUUAAGCUUGCAGGGCUCUGAGAUAAAACUCAAGUCUUCAUGCUGGGUGACAGGCAACUUUAGCUGGUGAGCCAUCUCCCCAGCCUGCAAUCUGAUUUUUUUUAAAACGAAUAAACCAGCAGGAAAAGGAAAAAAGCAUCCUGUUUUUUAGUUUAAUGAACGUUUGGUUUAAAUGCACAUUUUAGUACAUACGAUGAUGAAUUACCAAGUAACUCCUUUGACCCCGUGUAUUUUGCUAAUAGGAUAUUUCUAACAAGGAAAAAUUGAAGUGAGUGCUUUCCCACUUUUUAAUAUUGGGGAUGUAGAUUUAAAAUUAAGCUUUUAAAAUGUGAGAGUCUAUGUGCUACUCAGGUAAACCAAAAUCAUUUUCAUUUCACAGUUCUGAAGCACGCAAGUCAAUGAAAUUUGGGAUUGAUAACUUGCAAUUAUAUUGACUUUCAUUUUCCUGCUCAGGUAUUCUUCCAAGUGCCAAUGCUUAUAGUAGAUGUGGCUUUGCCAACCACAGUUUUGCAGGACUUAAAUUGCAGCAACUUGAUGCACUGAGAGGGUUUGAAAAGUGGCUUCAAAGGAGCAGAUGAAAGGCUGUAAGCUGUUUGCAAUGGUCAGCUAUAGCACUUGCCUCUGAGUUCCCCAUGAACUUGGACAGAGACUGAACUUAGUUGAAAGGAAGACCAUACAGAUUGGAAGAGAAUGAUAGGCAGGUAUACACAGGACCCAGAGAAAAUGCAUGGAGAAGCGGAUCCAUCAUACAAGAAUGAUUUCCCUUGACAUAUGUAUUGUAGGCUAGAGAAUAUACAAUAAAAAAAAUGGCAGUAAUUAAAACAUAUUCACUUAAGUUAAGAAUCAUUUGAAAUAUGGUUGCAUGGUAAAGACCUCAUUAUAGACCAUACUCGGCACAUAAACAUGAUACUUGUAUCUAGGGAUAGUUAAUUAGUUCUCAUAGGCACACUGAUGGCUCACCUGUAGCCCGGUCUUGCUUUUUUGUCUUGGACAAAUCCAAUCUUGAAAGAGAUCAUUUAAAAAGCUUUCAGCCCACUCAUUGUAGGUGUUACAUUCAUCUAAUUUGAUGCAUCUGGGUAGAAAGCCUUUAUCAGAAGACAGACAAUACUGUGAAGAUUGUCUACUGAAUUCCUUGGGCAUUCCUGUAAGAUAAAAGUUCCUUGCCACACACUUUCUCUUCCUUCUCCUCCUCCUUCUGUUUUAUAUUUCUGUUUAUGUGUUCAUAUAUGUGUUCUUGUAUGUGCAUAUGGAUACAGAGGCCAGAGAUCAAAGCAGAAUAUCUUCCCAAAUCUCUCUCCAACUUUAAAAAUAUUCUUUGGCAAUUCUGCCCAGAUACGCAGUGAGAAUUGAACAUUCUCAGCACCCUCAUUGCUCUCUCACUUCCCUUCUGCUCCUGAUGAAAUCCCCAGGGUCUUUCACGGAGACUGCAUGUCACUGAUUUGUAUGGCUAGUGAGUUUUCAGAUAUACCUAAGUCAAUGCUUGACCCUGGGAUUAAUGAUUGAUUGAUCAAUUGAUUGAUUGAUUGAAUCCUGUGGUUGUGAACUCAAGUUCUUGUAUAUUUUACUCACUGAGCUAGCCCCCUAUCCCUUGCCAUAUAUAUAUAUAUAUAUAUUUAUGUUCUGUUUCUGAUAGUGAAUCUUCAAUAGGAUCAUUAUCUAUAACUUUUGAUAAACACUGCAUAUAAUGGUAACUCUAAGAGUCAACAGGGAGACUGUUACAUCAGAGGCAGGUCCUCCAGCCUCAGUGUUUCUGAUUCAACAUGACUGGGGUAGAGCCGGAGAAUCAGCAUUCUCAACAUGCUCCAAGUUAUAUGACUGCUGCUGGUGGAAAAAAAAGCCAUUCAGUGAAGGUGGAUGACUUCAUAGGGAAGAUGUUAUUCUAAUCCCAAGACCGUGUGGUGACUCUGAGCUAGAAAUUAGUGCCAAAGAAGGACCACCAGGCUAACUGAAAGGCAGGCAGGGUAGUCUUGGCAGACAAGGGAGGCAUUGUGUUAAGGGAAUUUGGUUUCUAAUGAAUGUAUAACAGAGUUAUAGACUUUGAUUGCUAUCAUUAUGGUUAUCUUCAAGUUAUUGAGUUUUAUUGAUUGGCAAAUCAUUUUCUCUUUUAUUGAGAUUUACUAUUGGUCAUUAAACUAUGGCGCUGGAUAGUUCCGUUGUUGUGCUGCAGAGAUGGCUCGGUGGUUAAGGGCAUGGACUGCUCUUGCAUAGAACCUGGGUUCAAUUUCCAGAACCCACCGAACCUACAGGGUGGCUCACAAUCUCUUAACUAAAUCAAGAGAAUGUGACAACCUCUCCUGGCCACUGGGGGCACCAAGCAGGUAGAUGCAUACAGCACAGACACUAAGGCAGGCAAAAAAGCCCAUACACUUAAAACAAAUAAAUGAACCAAUAGAUGAUAGAUAGAUAGAUAGAUAGAUAGAUAGAUAGAUAGAUAGAUAGAUAUUAGAAAAGAAAGUUUCAUGAGGAUCUAGCUGAGAACCUUUCAGUAUAAAGGCUAUACCCACAUCAUGACACGCAUACACACUUAAAAGGAAAGGACAAAAAAAAAUUUCCUUAGAUCAAGGGCUUAGAACAAGAAAUGUCACAAAGCAGGCACUUUCCUAGGGAGACUUGCCUAGAAUCCUGGCUCAUGCACUAGCUGCCCUGAGUUUUAUUCAGGACAUUCAUUGUCCCCAAGUCCUCAGCAUAUUUGUACUGUAACAGGUUAUAGCUCUCUCUGAAGAACAGUUGAAGGGUGGAAUGUAGUGUGAGCCUUUCAUCCCUGGAACACAGAAUAGGACUCUUGUUGAUGAGAACGCGGGCUUGUGUGGCUGGUUCUGCAUUGGCAUUGCAUGUGGAAUUCUGGGAGUAAAUGAGUGGUUUUACCUGUGGCAUUAUGGUUAUUGCUUGGGUGAGGUGAUGGGGGUAAGUCCCUCUAGAAUGAGGAGGGCUGAUAGAAGGAUGUAAAUGGACCUUGUCUUCCUGCUGUGAGAAAGAGGUCAGGAAAAGCAGUGGUUUCUCCUGUAGCAGUGACAGGGGACAAAGAGGAACAGCAAACAAUAUGAUUCCCACAAUGCCUUUACUGACACCUACAGCACAGCCAUAAUUCAGUACUCAUUGUCUUGUCAUUAUUGCUGAAUGGCUGCAUUUUGUUCCAAGUCCUGGAAUCUCUCAAAUGUGCUGCCAUAAAGGCGAUUCUUCAGAAGGGCUCACUCACACAUGGGGGUUCCAGAGAUCGGACGUCAGAGCCUCAGAAGGGUAUACUCACAAUACAAGGGUCACAGACUUCUGAUGUCAGAGUCUCACAAUACAGGCAUAGUUCAGGAAUGAGAGGAGGAAUGAGAAAAGAGUGGGGAAGAGAAGAAUCUUCCAGAGGCUAGAAAUCUCAGUUGGUGUGGUCUCUGUAUCCAGAAGGGGUUGACUUAAAUAUUGGUCUCUUACAUGCUUGUUCUGUAGCUCUGGACAGUUUUGGUCCUGUCUGGCGCCUUAGUGUCCUCUUGCAUAGCAUGCACACAAGUUGAUGUAUGAAUAGCAUUAAAAUACUAGCAGCUAAGCCUCUAUAAAGAAAAUCAGUUAUGAUUUCCAUUAUUUCAAAGGGAAAGAUAUUCUUUUAAAUGUGAUUUUGUGCAAGUUUUGCAUGGGUGUUUUGCCUGCAUGUUUGUCUAUGUAUCAUUUGCAUGCCUGGUACCCAUGAAGGGCAGGAAGAGAUGUUGGAUCUCCUGGGGAUACAAAGUGUUGUGACCUGCCACUGUGUACUCUGGGAAUUAAAGUCAGGUCAUCUAGAAGUACAGCUAGUGUUUCUAGCCAAUGACCAAUCUCUCUAACUCCCGACAUUUACCAUUGAUUCCUCUUGGUGUGGAAAGACAGCCAGGGUGGUUCAUUUAUGUCAACACUAAUAUCAAACCCUGUGGAUAUUUGUCUUUGAGGGUAAUUGACUUACAUAAAAGCUAUUGGACACUGGGUGGGUGGUUGAAGGCAUUUUCAAAAGUUACAAGUACGGGAAACCCAAUCAAUAGUGGAUGUCGCUCCGUCAUGUGUGGUUGACUGGUGAUUGUAAAAGUCACUACUGUUUUGAAGUUUUAGUCUAUCAUAGCAAAUCUUUCCUGUUUUCUUUACAUCAUUAAUAAAUGAAAUCACAUAGAAUCCACGAGGACCCUGCAACAGGCCAGGUAAUGGUCAUGAAACAAACUAUUCUGAAUCCUGUAUUUCUUUUUUCUUUUAAAUUGUUCCAAGGAUCAAUUGUGUUGGCAAUGUAUCUGUUGGUUUUUCUUUGCCUUAACAAUAUGUUCAUACUUAGAAGGCCAUGACUAAUGAUAUAUAAUUUAAAAUAUAUAUAUAUAUGUACAUAUAUAUAUGGGGGAAGAAGAAAAAGCAUUGAAUAUAAAAUUAGACUUGCAAAUAGAUUUCCUUUGAAACAAUUUUUAGGAUUUUCAUUUGCUAAUGUGUAAACACAUUCUAGCUUUGUUCAUCUUGUCCAGACAUUAUUUCUGCUAAAGCUUUAUGUGUACAUGGAAAAAAUGAAAAAUCUGUCUUACUGUGUGUCUCCCUUCCUCUCUCCCUCCAUCUUCCUUUCUCUUUACAUAAUUAUAUCUGCUGAUGACCUACCAUAGUUCAAAAUGUCACAUUGGAUUAAUUUCUUCCAAGAUUCUCUAACUGUGCUCUCCGCGGCAAUUCUAGAUUGGUGGCUGGUAAGUAAGUGUGUCCUCCAUGUUUCUCACUUAACACGUCAGAACCAGAAAUCAGUAUGAGAUCUUGGCCCUGCUUCCUUGUCCAAGUGGAAAAUCUCAAGAUUUCUUCAAACACAUCUAGUUCAUAUUUUUCGAUAUAAUAUUUUAUUAAUUCUUUGAGAGUAACAGAGAAGCAGACAAUAUAUUUUGAUUAUAUUAGCCCCUCACUUCUACCUCUAACUCCUUCUAGACCCAUGCCUCAACUUAAUCUUUCCCCUUCCUGUAGAAUAUCUUAUUUUUUUUUCUUAAUAACUCACUGAGUCCAACUUCUACGUCCUAUACACUUAUGGGUAUGGGAACAUUCACUGGAGCAUGGAGAACCUACCUUGCCCUUAAAGAAAACUGAUUCUGCUCUCCCAAUGGCCAUCAGCGGCCAGUAGUUCCUUAGUCAGUGGUCAGAGCUCAUGAACCUCUCCCCUUACAUACUGCAGUGCUGUCUUGAUCAUGGGCAGGCCACCACAGCUAGUGUGAGGUCAUGUGUGCAGCUGUCCUGUUAUGUCUAGAUGACUAUGUUUCAACACAGAUUUUUAUAGUCUUUAUGUCCCCUCUGAACUUUUAGGAGAGGGGAAUGUGAUGUACAAAUUUCACUUAUAGAUGGGCACUCUACACAUACGUGCUCUCAGCUCCUUGACAAGUGUGAGUUCCUAUAUUAACCAAUGUGUCCACUGUAGAAAAACUUCUCUGAUGAAGUCUGACAGCUGCAUUCAAAUCUGAAGAGUGAGUUGGUAUUCUAGUGAGACUGGAAUUUGGAAGUCAGUAGUACUUGAUGUAUCCUGAUGGUUGUUCUUUAGCAGUAGUGUGAUAACAGAACCUAGGUAAUAUAGUUGUGUGUGUUUGGUAUGUGUGUGUGUGUAUGUGUGUGUGUGUGUGUGUUAUGUGUGUUUGUGUGUGUGUGUGUGUGUGCUAUGUGUGUAUGUGGUAUAUGUGUGUGUCUGUAUGUCUGUGUCUGUGUGUGUCUGUGAGUGUGUGUGUCUGUGUGGUGUGUGUCUGUGUGUCUGUGUGUGUGUCUGUGUGUCUAUGUAUGUGUAUGUGUGUGUGUUGUGUUUGCCUGUGUGUGUGUGUAUUUGUCUGUCUGUGUGUGUGUGUGUGUGUGUGUGUGUGUCUGGGGUUUCAUAGUAAUAAUCAAAGAGUUUCAUAUCAUAUACAUACCAGUUUCUGAACCAGGUAGAAGUGAUUUUGGAUUUCUUGAUCUUAUUUCAUCAAGAUUAAAAUUUUAUAAAGUAAGUGACUUGAACAUUAUGAGGAAAAAGCAAUAUAUUGGAGGAGAUGGUGGCACUUUACUGAUACUGAUCACUUAAAAACACUACUUGAAAUUAUUAUAUUCAACUAUGCUAAUGUUGCUGAACUUACUCUGGGAGCACAGGCACUUCUCUGUGUUAUUCAAACAAUGGUUUUCAAUAUUUUACUUUAUUAAUAAUGUUAGUAACAGCACAUGGCAAGACAUUUUUAACAGGUUCACAUAGUAUAGAAUGUUUCCUUUUGGAAAAGGCACAGAGCUGAAAAACAGUGGAGGAACGCUGAUGUCCAUCCUGCACACAGAAGCUCUUUCCUGUUGACAAGGAAACACUAAGAAAAUAUUGGGAAACCACCAGAAGAAAGCUACUGUGGUUUCCCUUUUCUGAAGCACGUGGUUUGAGAGCAAAAUCUCUCCCAUAGGCUCACAUAUUUAAACAUGUGGUUCCUAGCUGCUGAUUCUGUGUGGAAGGAGCCUUGUUGGAGGAAGUACGUAACUGGAGGCGGGACUUCCUGAGUACAGAUGCAAUGUGACCAGCUUGGUCCCUGCUCUUGCUACCAUGCAGUCCCUGCCUGCUCUCGUGUCUUUGUCUCCAUGAUGGAAAACAUUUCCGAGGAGCUCUCAUCUUCACCCCAAGGUACCCCCAAAUCAAACACCAAGCAAACCCCCUCCCCCAAUACUUUCUAUCUUAGAUUGUUUUAUCAGGGUAUUUGAUCACAGCACAAAGAAAGAAAUUAAGAUACUACCCAUGCUGAACCAUGAGGAAAAGACACCAAAUCUUCAGGUUGUUAACAAAUUCUCUAGAACCCAAGGGGCAUCAGUAAUAGACAAUCUUACUGCACCCACCCACUUUCACAUUGUGCUUUCUGCUCUUUCUGCGGUGAAGUCAUUUAAUGAAGUUAUUGUUAUUAAAUUAGUAAUAAUUCCCAUUGAAUUAAAUUUUAAGAGCUACUUCUAAAAUAUUAAAUCAGCUUUUGACACAAAGAUUUUUCAGAAAAUGACUAAGUGUUAUAAAGAUGAAUACAUUCUGAAUUUUUUUGGCAAUUAAUGUGAGGUAUUAAGAACUUUUAAGUAAAAUCUUGAUAGGGCUCAAAAGCUCAUAUCAAUGUCUUAGCCUAUCAAGUCCAUGAGACUUCAGAUCUCAUGAGCCACCAGUCCAAGUCAAAGGUUAACACUGACCUGGUCAAGUUUGAAAGCUGUGAAAAGACAAUACACUUCUUGGGCUUGUUUCUUCAGGAAACCACGAUUAAGCAAACUGUAAGUCAGUGAAUAAACAAGUACACAACAGUACAUAGUUUCUAUAACUUUGGGGAAGGUUUUGACCUUCCAAACCUUGAUUCUGUUGACAGUUUAGACUAGAUAAGUCAUUAAAAAGAUCAUUUAUAUUUACUUUCAUGUUUUUCUUAUCAUGCAUUUUUGGUUCACUAUGAUGCUGGUUACAUGGGUUUUGAUCAUGUGUUCUCCCUCUCUUUUAGCUCUUUUGUCCCUGACCAGUACUCUUUCUCUUCACAUUUAGGCUACAUGAUUCUUUACUGGGAUUGGUUUUCUUGUAUAUUGCAAUGUGUUCGGUAACAUGCCUGGUCUCCAUAUGUUACAUGCUGGGAAUACUCAUCAUUCCGAUUUUGAAGCCCCUUAGAUACCCCUGUUGGUACAGGCAGGGGCAAAACUUUCCCAUAUUUAAUAACCACUGCACUAGGAGCUUGAGAAAAGUAUAUCUAAUUAAAGUAUAGGGAAAAAACUAGCCAAACACAAGCACAGUUAACAGGAUCAUUAAAAACAAUGAUGAGAGGGGAUCUCGGCUACUGGUCAAAACCUAAAUGAAGCCUGUUACUUCAACCUCAUGCCAGACCUUAGAAUUUGCUUGGAAAGUAAGCAUAAAAAGUGACCUGUGGCCAUACCUACUUUUCCUUCUCAAUACUUUAUUUCUAGGGUUAGAUUAUUUUAGUAACGUAACUUAAGCCACUCAAAUUAAGACAGAUAAUAUCUAGGUAGGUUUACUAAAUACAGUUCAUGUCUUCUUAGUGAAUCAAAAUGUAGAAAAGAAAACAUCAUUCCUGCUCCUUGUACACUGUUGAAUGUGAAUUGACAAGCUAGUCAUGACAUCAGCAGGAGGUCUCUAAUGGGAAGCAGUGGGGGCAAUAUCUAGAGAAGGGCGCUGCUAGGGAAAGCUGUAGGCAAGUGACCUCAUUUUGUAGUUGUUCCAAUGCAAACGGUGAGCGCUGUGUGCUUGUCAUCCAGCAAUUCAGGCCAACCAGUUAGUACCUGGGAGAGGGGACACUCUCUAGUUUAUGGAGUCAGAGUAAUUAGUGAUUACUGGGAGUAGACCUCAUGGGACUGUCAGGUUGUAUAGAGAAGAGCACAGGAUCAGUGCUCUUGAAAAAAACGGGACAGUGAGUAAUGCUCAGAAAGUAUGGGCCUCAUGGAGGGAAGCAACCACUUAACUUUGUUGUUAUUUUUAUUGCCUGGAAACACCUUUCUUUCUUUUUUUUUUUCUUUUCUUUUUUUUUUUUUUUUUUUUUUUUUUUUUUUUUUGGAGCUGGGGACCGAACCCAGGGCCUUGCACUUGCUAGGCAAGUGCUCUACCACUGAGCUAAAUCUCCAACCCCAACACUUUUCAUUUUUAAUUAAUAAGCAAAGUGAUGUCUCUUGAUCUUAAAGAUGGAGAUUGUUACUGUUAUUGCUGUUAAGGAUUUUAUUUCUGAGUGCUAGGGGAAAAUUAUCUCAGCAGAUCAUUUUGAAACCCUACAUAGAUGCUGGUUUAUGUUUUACACAUUUCUUUCUAUUUCCUUUUGAUUUUGGCUGCACUGGGCUUUGAGCUAAGGGUCUUAAAUGUGCUAAGAAAGUACUCGUUUAGUAAGCUACAUUCCCAGCCCCCUACCCUGCCCCUGUUGGAUAGUUAAGGUUAAUACAAAUAUAAGGUCUCUUGAUCUGUAUCACAAGUACCUACUCUCCUCUAAUUCCAUGACCAUAUUUUGUACAUCCGUACCAAAAAUUGCAUAUUUCUUCCACUUAAAAGUCAUUUCCAUCUGAUCAUAGAGUUUAUAUGCCAACUGGUGGUGGGUACAAGUUAGGAAAACUACACUAGACAAGCACUGUCCACAUAACCGUACUUACACCAUUUGAUAAAGUGUCUGUUAUGCCACUAUGGCUGUAGGAUAUUUGCAAUGUGGUAAGUUUGACCGUAGAAUCCAAACUUUAUCUCAUUUCAAUUUCACUGUAAAUAUUAACUUGUAGCUAUCAACAAUCACAUUGGAUAGCACAGGUCUAGGCCAUUAAAGUACAUUUUCUGAAACAAGUUUUAGGGCCAAGGAUCAUGGAUGGUGGCAGGUAGAUCCAACUGUUUGACAAGGUUCAUGCUUGAGAGCUACACAGUCAGAUUACCAAAAGCAAACAACAAACUCUCCAGAACUACGGCAAUCAUGUCUUAAAUAAGUUUGUGUUUUCGUACUGGGACACAUUCAUAGUUAUCCUUGACUACAUGAAGCCUGGGCAAUGGCAAGGGAGAGCUCAAAUUGGACACAGCUGGUAGGCCUUCUGAACGGAAUUAGAGAGCAAGCAUACACAUGUCUAAACCUAGCUACAGAGACAGAAAACAACAUUGAAUGUGCUUAUUGUUCAUAGCAGCUAGAAAGUUAAGACAGCAAAUGUCUGCUUGAUUUACUGAGACCUAAUAUCAAACACAGGCAUGUCUAAUAUUGACAGGAAGAAUGUGAGUCAAUGCAGACAAAUAACUUUUAGAUCUUCUUUCUCCUGCUUUGGAAAUUGUAUCUAAGCAGCGAAGAGUCUCUAUGUAUGGUUUUAUGUGUAGUGAUAUUUUUUUUUCCUCCUUAUGUUUCCCUUGAAGCAGUUUAAUAUAACCCUGUCGGGUUCAGGAGGUAUGUUUGGAAGAUUCACAGGAAUACAGUGUUUGUGUGAUAAAGAAUUAUUUAUGUCUGGCAUGAAACACCACAGUCGUGUGUGCGAACUGUUUAUGUUAUUAAUUGUGACAUUUAGCAAGAUGCAAGGACCUAGUGAUAACAGUGCUUGCUCAAAAUCCCUCGGUGUCGUUGCCUCCUGCUGAUGGGGAAAUAGGACGUGACUUAAGAGUCUGUUUAUUCUGGGGUUUAUAAAUAUUCUGUAAAUCAUAAAUAAACCAAGGCACUUUUUGUCACCUAGUCACCUGUGAUGGGAGGCCUUAGAGUGAGGGAAAUACUGUAUGAAGUAUCUCUCCUGGCAUCAUCAGGUCAAAUGUACAGGCUGUUUAGAAAUGCAUAGCAAUAAUAACUGACAUUGUUUGUAUCUGAACAUGGGUCUUCAAAUACUCAUGCAAUGAGACAACUCAAGUUUGUCAUGAAUGGCAAUACCAAUGUUCAGAGAGAGGCUAAAGUGAGGAAAAUCAUUGUAUAAACCCUGCUAACACAGUACCUGGGCCCAAUAAAACUACUCAUUUGGUUAUUACUAUUGCUGUUGAAUAUUUCAAUGGUUCUAUAUUAGAAUAUAUUAUCAUAAGUCCUAGUGGACAAAGCACUAGAUAUUCAUUAGGCCGAAGAAUACCUGGGUAGUGUGUUUUGUUAUGUUUUGUUAUUGCUGUUGUUUUUCCUCGCAACAUGGGUAUUCUUUUGCAAUGCAAAUCAAUCCCAGUUAAUUUCAUUUAUUUUAUAAAUUAAGUAUUUAUGCACCAGGUGUUCUGAAAGCUGUGGGCAUUCUUCCCUAACAACAAUGGCUCUUUAAAACCUACCAGAUGGAUUAUUGUGGCAAGAAAUAGAAAUGUCUUCUAAGGUAUUGUCUGAUUACACAAAACUGUGCCCUAAUGGCUUAAAAGUAUGGGAUAAUUUUCUUUCUCUUAAUGACUAUCAUGUCAACUUUUCCUGGGGAGAAGUAAACAAUUGUCUUUCACCCUAGAUGGUCACUAAGGGGUAUACUAAAGUACAGUUUCAUCAAAGUCAGACUUGAUGAGACAAGAGAGUUUAUUGUGCUUAUGACAGAGCACAAGUAAGGGGUUAUUUAAAAAAUAUGGGCUGUGGACCACUACCAAAUAGCUCUAAUACUACAAAGAUUUACAGUAUCAUGCAUGAGUAUCCUUUGCAAGGUACAUCAUUGACUCGGCCUCUUUCAUUAACUUUGCACCUCCUAUAUCCUAUGACCCUGCUCUCCUGCCAAUGUAGGGAGCUUCAUUAGUAUAACAACAGAUCCAGCUACCACUGUGUUGUUCUGUUUUAGUUGCCAUGCCUACUGAGGCAAAGGUCAAAGGGCAGCACAAUGGGAUCAUCUUAUUAGACCCAGAAGAAAGCCACCAUAAAAUAAUUACCCAUUCAGAAUACAGAGGAAGGAAUGGAACAGUAAGUUAACUCUUGCUGGGUGAGAAGUCUUUACUUUCUACUACUGGCAAACUAUUGCUUGUAUUAUACUGUUAGUAGACUUAAAGGCCAGCUGCCUGACAGAGGUUAUAUAGUGUAUUUUCAUAUUUAACUGAUGCUCUAAAUUUUCUCUUUUGAGUAUACUGUCAGAAUCAACCAGACAGAUAUCUCAACCAUUCAUUGACUUCAAACAAUAUUUUGGGCAUAUUUGGUAAAUUUGACUUCCUUCACCUCACAGGUUGAAUUCUGAUUCGUGGAAUUCUCUUUGGGGAAAAAAACGCCUCUCUUUUUUGCAUGGGGGCAUAUGCUUAAAUUUAGAAUGAAAUGUCUCUCGAGUGGCCUGAGGGUACCUGUGCAUUAAUGCAGAAAUUGGUAUUAGGAUAAAAUCUUGAACAAUUAGGGAUAAGUAUCUAAAACUCAAUUAACCUUUGGCAGUUUCCCCCAAAGCAGUUAUGAGCUUUCAUUUUCACUACUGCUGAAUUAAAUAGAUUUUUUUCUUUUUCUUUUGGUCAUUGCAUAAUCAGAGACAAAGGUCAGUCUUUGCUAGACCUGUAUUAGACAUGAGUACAAGCAGUUCUGUAAGGGCUACAGACAGACACCAUGAGCUCGUGCAGUUGCUCUGUGUAUUUGAAUCUGUGUUGGGUCUCCCUUGAAGUUAAUUCAUGAUGGUGAAACAAACUUUCAAGCCAAGGCUUUGAGGUCUUGAUUCAUGACAAAAUGACCAUGAACUCUGUGUGAUUGACAUGACCCAAAAUCCCAAAGGUUAGGCACUGCUGAUGACAGGUCAAGACCCAGUCUGCUUUUCUAGAGACAAGAAAGAUAAUGUUGCAUGUAUCUUGAAAUCACCUAAACUUUAAACAGCAUUCAUCACAUUAGUUUGAUGUGUUCAAUUUGUGUAGGUUGUUAUGUGGUUUUCACAGGCAUUUCCCCCUUUAAAAUAUUGCUAAAUGACAUUAGGUGGAAAUGUCUUGCCUUCUCAACCUUGAAAUAAUACAUUGAAGGGACUCGACCUUUCAUGAGAAGGGUUUGAAGAGCCAUGAACCCUGGAUAGUGUUGUUUUGUAGUACACAUGUUCGUGUAUAGUAUGGCCUGAGAAGAAAUUGUAGCCAGGUAUUGAUAUUACAUGCCUUUCUAUUAUUUCACAGAUGACUUAUUUGGAUGAAAACUGGGUUUUGUGAUAGUUGUCUUUUUCAGUACUCUAUUUGUUUCAGAAUCCUGAUACAGGGGGGAUUUUUCUUUUCUUUUCUUUUCUUUUUCACUCUUUUUUUUCAUCAUCUUUAUUAAAUUGGGUAUUUCGGAUUUACAUUUUGAUUGUUAUUCCCAUUCCCAGUUUCUGGGCCAACAUCCUCCUAACCCCUCAACCCUCCCCUUCUCUAUGGGUGUUACCCUCCCCAUCCUCCCCCCAUUACCGCCCUCCCCCCAACAAUCACAUUCACUGGGGGUUCAGUCUUGGCAGGACCAAGGGCUUCCCCUUCCACUGGUGCUCUUACUAGGCUAUUCAUUGCUACCUAUGAGGUUGGAGCCCAGGGUCAAUCCAUGUAUAGUCUUUGGGUAGUGGCUUAGUCCCUGGAAGCUCUGGUUGGUUGGCACUGUUGUUCAUAUGAGGUCUCAAGCCCCAGGGAUUUUUCUUAACACAUUUAAACCUUCACCAAUUAAUUGUGGCAUUAAUCUAUGAGUUGUUACAAGACAUAUGAGUUAUUCAAUUUCCCUUUAUUCUCCAACGUUUUAGGAUGACAGGGAAAGGACCUUGCAUUGAGAAUUCUAUAUGCAGGUGCUUUGGCAAAGGCUAGUCCUCUUUGGCUUUUCCUCACAUAAGUAGAUCCUCCCAGUAAUGAGCCAUCUAACCAUCGGAACUCUGGUUUUCAUAGAGACUAUUAGUCAUCUGUAUGUGAUCUAACUUUCCCAACAUGUUAGCAGUUCCAUGGUGGAAGAUACUUCAACUAUAAAGUAUAAACCUUGUACAUGGAGAAACAGAUACCUAAAUUAGCAUUCAAAAAACAGACCAAUCACAUUUCCCACUAAAACUAACCAGCAUUGCUUUGUAGGUCUCUCAUCUUUAGAGGCACUGCUCACUUUUCUGUGCUAUAUCAUUUUCAAUAAGGGGUACUAAAAACAUCUGCAUUGUAUAUUGUAUUAUGUUAAUAUAUGCUUUCAUUUUUCAUAUAUUUGCUUUCAUUUUCAAAGAUGGCAGGAAAUAACUUUAUGAGUAUUUGCCUCUGGCAAAGUUAAUGUAUUUUUAAAGGGUUUACAAAAUUAGUUCCCUUGAUCCAAAGCUGAACGGCAUCAUUUUGCUUGGCGCAAGCAGGGGGUGGGGUGCAUCUUUGUGUUCCCCUUGCCUAUGCUAUCUUAAACUAUAGUACAGAUUCAUUUUGCAUUGUUUUGUAUUUUAUAAAAAUUGCCAGUAUUUUAAUAGCAAGAGCAAGUUUAAAGAAACCUGAAAUUGCUUUUCCUGGUCAGUUAUAUUCUAUGUGUAUGCAUAUUAACACAGGUCUCUCUGUCUCUCUGUGUCUCUGUCUCUGUCUCUGUCUCUGUCUCUCUCUCUCUCUCUCUCUCUCUCUCUCUCUGUACAUGUGUGUGCAUGCAUGCAUGUGCCUGUGUGUGUGUGUGUGUGUGUGUCUGUGUGUCUGUGUGUCUGUGUGUCUGUGUAUGGGUUAAAGAUCAGUGGCAGACCCAUUUCUUUAAACGUGAAUGUUACCAAACAUUGGUAGCAUUUUUCUAUGCUUUUCUAGAGAAUACAUACCUUGUAAACAGCUUGUAUAUCCAUUUCGUGAUAAAUUUUCUUCUGAACCACUUAGUCUAGAAAUGACAUGGGAGUGGGAAGAGACCUAAUGAAUACUUGAAACCCAGACUCUGGGCAGGAGGUCUACAGAACAUGAAAAUAACUUAAAUGUAAGCUAUUAUGUUUUGCUUUUUAAAAUUGUAUGAGUUUUGCCUGUAUUCAUGGCCCUGUCCCACAUGUCUGUAGUGCUUUCAAAGGCCAAAGAUGUCAGAUAUCUCAGAACUGGAAAUCAAACAUCAGUCUUUUGGCAGAAGAGUCAGAGUUCUUAAUUGCUAGGUUUUCUCUUCAGGCCUACUACAUAUGCCUGUUUCCUUUUUACAUGCCUGUUUUAAGACUGGAGACUAUAUCAGUUCUAUCAAUAUUGCUCUGCUUAUAUAUAUAAAGUGUAGUUAUGUUGGGGAUUUGCUUAAGAAUCAUGAGUAUACACCAACAAUUAAAAACUAUUGUAGAAUCUUUAGUGUACAUUUCUUUUUGUAAAUUAAAAAUCCUUCUAUGCUUGAAAGUGAGGUUAAGUGCUGCCUACCAUACAUACAGGAAGGGGCUCCAUUCACAUCAACACACACACACACACACACACACACACACACACACACACACACACACACAAAAUGGGCACAUUCUAUUAUUACAUCAAUCUCAUUAGAAAGGUCACUGAUUUUUUCAAAGAUGAAAAGUAGCAGAAUGAAGUGAACUCAUAGACUCCAUCCAUUCACCUUCGUGAUGAACAGGAUUAGUUGUAUAAACUCCAACCCCUCCUCAGCUUUCCUGCUUCAUGGCUUACUGACUUUAACCUCUUAGUUCAUGGCAGCCAGAACUGCUUACAUGAGGUUGUGAAAAAGGAGGGAUUUAGAGAAGACUGUUCUAUUGGCCUGUGGUGUAGACUGUUGCACUGAGUUCCUUAGUCUACUGAUAUCUGGGCUACUUUUCCUAGUAACCAGUAGGCAUUAAGCACUGCAGUUCCAUUUAUCAUCCAGAAAAACUUAGUCCCUCCAUCAGCCAAGAAAAUCUGAACAUACACUCAAUCUGGUCACAUCCAUCUUCUGCUUUAGAAACUAUCCACAGCCCCUGUUGUGUUCUGCAUGACGUUCUAAGUUCUUAGGAGUGGCUCUGAUCUCCUGCCAUAUUCUUUAUCUACUCACAUAGCACGUCUUGCUUUCUCUGUUGCUCUAUAUUCCUUACAUGUAGCAGGCUUCUUUCUCAUCAGACGCUGAUUAUCUGAGGUCUCACCAAGGCCUUAUCAUUCAUUGCAUCUUGACCUCAGUGCUGUAUAUUCCUGUUCUCUUUCCAUCACUAAAUACUCUUCCGUCUCCCCACACACAGCUAGAUCUGGUCAGCUCCAUAGUUAUUCUGUGACCAUUACCACAAGUGCAAUCAGAUGAUUUUAGGCCAUAAACUAGGACCAUUGUCUACUGAACUGGAAGCUGCUGAGUGAAAGGUAGGUUCUGAGCAGUUUAUAUCAAUGACUCGAUCACCUUCUUUUGUAUGUGAAACAUUAAAGUAUUUAUUGAACAUCUGUUCAGUAAAUAAGGUGAAUGGGGUUUUAGAGAUAUUUCAAAUUUUUGGUUUGGCAGAAUUUUUUUUAGCAUAUAAACAAUUUCUUCACUGUUUGAUUAUGAAACCCAACACCCGUGGAUUAAAUUCUUUUCUGUUGACUUAAAUCUUUAUAACCAGCCUAAUCCUUUGAUUUCCACUCUGAAGGUACUGAAUUCAAUAUCAAAAGAAACUUUAAUUUCAGGGGAAGUGCGCUGAUCAUAUCAGACUUCAACAAACACAGUUUUUACAGAGUCUGUGUGAAAGUCGGAGCUCUAGAUAAGGAAAAAAUAAAAGUCAUCCCAAAGUAAUCUCAGAAUGGAAGAUAAAAGACACAGCUUGUUACAAAGAGGUUAAUGCAUAUGGAAGCAGAUGUUACUUAGUUCAUAUAUUUUUUUGCCACCAGGAAGCCAAGAGCUUCUGGGUGUUUGUUCAGUGAAGUAGAUCAGGCUCAAUUUGCACUUGUGAAACAUUUUUUGGACUAAUGAUGGAGAAUCCUCAAACACGACCACGUCAGAAGUAGAGGAGGGAACGAGACUAGGAAGAGAAACGAAAAUGAAGAGGAAUGAAGCAAAUGAAUCUGCCCUGCUAACUUUACAUCUUAAUAGGCAAGUCACAGGUGUCCCAAGCCUUGGAUUAAUGUUCCACUAAUAUAUAUUUAUACAUGUUGAUAAAGAAUUAAAAGGUGAUAUUGUUGAAUGGGUGGGGCUGCAUCUUCCACGUUGGGAAGGUUGCUUUAGAUAAAGAUUAACAUCGUAUUUCUUUUCAUGCCAUUUCAGAGAAGCAGAUGAAGUGUUCAGUAAGCUCAGAGCCUUGGAGCUUGGAAAUAGCAUUGCCAUAGUCAAGGCUUUGGCAUUUGUUCUAGCACAUGCUUAGAGACCAUCUUGAUAAGGCUAGAGGAAACAUGCAUGCUAUCUCAAAGCUGUCUCACAAUGUCAAGACUGAUGUAAUAAAUGCUAAGUUCAAAAAACUAUGGUAUUAAAAUACAGGCUGUAUUACCAGCAAUUCCUCGACAUGUUUUAUAUAAUAGUAAGGAUUCUGUUAGCAAAGUAAGGUUGUUACUAGGUAAGUAACUAGGUAAGCCUUACCUGUUCAGUGAGCAUUACGCUGCUAAGAAAGGGAGGGGGUGUGUGUUUAAAUGUUCAACUAAACUGACAUACUUGCCACUCAGUUGUUCUAUCAACCUUGCUAGCAUCUUUGUAAAAGACCAUAAAACCAGUGGUUAGCAUUGCAAUUGCUAGGGGCUUUAAAAAAUGUAGUUUGGGACUAAUGCUGUAAUGUUCUAUAUACUGGGAAUGAAAUUAUAGAAAAGAAUGAUAAUGAAUAUGAAAUACAACUUUUGACUUUCAUUAGGGUUGGAAAGCAAAAGGAAAGACCUAACAAUUACUGCCCUUUGAGGAAUCCAUUGUGAUACACAGUGGUUCAUUUGGUCUGGUCGGAUAUCAUAAUCAUUUUCUUGGAUAACUGCUAUGAGACUGAAACAUAUUUAUCAUCUGUCUAUCUAUCUAUCUAUCUAUCUAUCUAUCUAUCUAUCUAUUCAUCUAUCAUCUGUCUGUCUGUCUGUCUGUCUGCCUAUUCAUUCUCACAGAAUCUCUUUGAGGAUGUGUGCUAGGUUUAAACUUGUGAUCUUCCUGUCUUGACCUCCUGAGAGUUAAGCUUACUAGAGCACACCAUCAUGCCUGGUUAACAUAUUUUAUGAUUAAAUAGAAUAUUUUUUGUUUCUUUCACAAGAAGAUUCUAAUAUCACUUUGUUACAACUCCUGGAGUGUCAAACUUUGGGCAACAUUAGAGACAGCACUCUCUGUGCAGGAAAUUGAUUCUAAGAAAUAAAGGUAUCCAAUGUCAGAGACAAAAGCAGAACUGGAUCUCUGCAGGGAUGCCCUGUGCUGAUCCUCGAUCCUUGUUUUUAGGUUGCCUCAUCUAUGUGAGGACCCAGUGACAAAUAUUUCAGAGUGAUCCUGAAGCUAAGUGACACCAUUCCUGUGAAUAUUCCUUACCUUGCUUCUCAUAAUGCUGAUUAAAUAAUGUCUAAAAUUAGAAUUACUAACAUCAUCAUCUGUUCACAUCUUUAUUAAACAGCUGCUCUAAACUUCAAAGAUGGGACCUAGUCCAACAGUGUUGACCCUUUUCCACCAUGUUUUUCACAGACUCCAGUAUUAGAUAUGUCCCUAUCAGGGCAUAUACAGUACUUCACAAGGACAAUAUAUCUGGUUGCUUCCUGCUCUGUAUAUUGAAUGAGUUUAAGAUUGAGAGAAAAGCUCAAAGAGGUAAAUGAAAGAUGAUUUCUAACUCUUAGUUUAUCAAAAGUACACCUUUGGGUAGGUCUAAGAUCUUAGGUUCCUAUUGCAACCGUUAUUAAAUUAUAUUAAAGAAAAAGCUGUAGCAGGUCAUGGAAGAAUAACAAACUUGUCAUAUCCCAAUACACUUGAAAGCACUGAGUACAGGAGGGACACUUGGGCUGUUGUUUUAACUCAUAGGGAGGCUAGGCCUUGGGGUGUUGUCUUGAGCACGUUUGCUGAAGUAACUGUUAGUGAAAGCCCAAUAGCAAGAAGAUGUCUACCGUAGAAACAUAGAAGGGGGCAAGCAUUCAAGACAAUUAAAUAGAACCUGAAGGAUUGCAGAGAGGAAAUACGUUCUUAUGUCAGCUCUUAGUCCUGAUUUCUUUGCCUGAGCUCAAGUUCUAAAUGAAUUUGACUUUAGAAAACAUGAAGUCAUUUUGAAUCUCGGCCAAAAAUGUUGUUAAUUCAAGCUUACCUCCAUAAAGUUAAUACAGAUGACAUAAGGUUUUUCUAACAUUGCCUCUUCUUACAAAUUAUAUAAGCCAAAGGAAGCCCUAGAGAUAGAAAAUGAAGGUCCUAAGCUCUGAGACAUAGGUGAUGAAUUUGUUGCUACGGUGAACCUUAGCUUGUUAGGAUAAUAUAGAUACGAUGCAAACAUAUACAUAAAAAAGUCAUUGCUUGCAUGAGUAAUCUUGGCUUUCACUCUGUGGCUUAAGAGCUAUUAUGUAAAAUUAUUUUGAAUUUUUCAUGUUGGUCAUUUUGAUUAGGCUUUCUUGUGAACAGUGUUGUCUCUAAGAUUGACAACUGAAAUAAACACAUCUAAUUGGUCCUCUAACUUUUAAUCAACUUACUGUGAAGACUGAAUGCUUUUGCUGUGGUAAAAUAAAAAUUGUUGAAUAGUUACACAGUAGUGAAACACUGUAAAUUUUGAAAAAGUGUAAAGCUUUGGGCAACAGACAGUGGAGCUAUGAUCCUUGGAGGGAAAUAAAUAGGAGAUCCUAGGAUACACAGGAAGAGUUAGAGGUGAUCACAGAAGACAGCAGAGAGCCCAGUGACUUGAGACAUUCAGCAGGGUCAGAGCUGCUGAAGAGACUGCAGUUUAAGGAUAAGGUUUCUGUAGAGGAGAAAACUAUGCUAGGCAAUCCCAGAAGUGGCAUCUUGAGGGAUCUUUCUAUGCCACUGGCCUUUUAUGCUGAGCUGAGAAUGUGCAGAUUUGGACUCUACGAGGCCUACUAGAGAGUGACUGAAGAUGAUCUGAGUAUCCUGAAUGGCUUACAAGCUUAGUUGAGACAAUAGACAUGGCACAACAAGGUAUAACAUAGGAGAAUGUGCCACUAAAAUAAAGAAAAAGUUCCAGGAAAUCUGUUUUAAAAAAAAUGAGAACAAAUCUAAAAGCAUCAAGGCCAUGUGUUAAUAACCUGAGAACUGGAGCAGUGCUCAUUAUAUAUGUGCGCAAUUGACAUCAGAAGAUGUCAGUGAACUUAGAGCUAUAGCAAUUGGAGUCUUCAAAUUUAAAGGAGAAAGGAAGAAGUGAGAAUGAAAAACUAAACUAUUUUUAAGUCAAAGGGUCACAGAUUAGGUGGCAAUGCUAUUAUAAAGUUUCUAGCAAAAUACAAGCUAGUUUGAAAGAUCAAAACUUUCUUGAAGUUAUAAAAAGCGCUGACUCUAUAAUGAAAUAAUUGACAAACUGGACUUGCUUAAAAGUAAAAUCUUUUGCUCAUCAAAAGAUCCAGAGAAUGGAAAGAUACUGGCAAGUUACAGACUCAAGGACAGCACCAUAAGUAUGUAUGUUGGAGAAAGGGCAUGCGUUCCAAUGAAUAUAGCCCUUAAACUCCAGCAGCUUAAUGAUAGAUAUCAAAUAGCCAAUUUUAUGUGAAAGGACAAAGCUUUGACUAUAGAUAGUGCCUGACGUUAAAAUUUUAGAUGUAUGUGUAUGUAUUCAAAUUAUCAAUAAGCUCAUUGAGAUCCUUAGUAUCAUUUUCAUGAAAGAAGAAAAUAAUGAAAACUAAAUUAGAAAUUCAAUACAGCUCAAUAUCGUGCUAAGAGAUAACACUAUAGAUUAUUUGGUGACUGAGGGCAUUCUGUAUAGCAGUUCCUAAAUUUUAUUUUUUUAGAUAAUUAAAAAUACCCCUUAUUAUCUAGCAGGUCUCCUGUUUGAAAUUGGCCAAGACAAGGGAGGCAUAUACUCACAAAAGAUCUCUACCCAGAUGCUCAAAGUCACUCUUCUAAUAAAGAGCUCAAUCAACGUGAGAAUAGUUGGGCUUGAAUAUUCAUUUGGGCAAUAAAAUGCUAGUCCCCAGUUCAAAAAAGCAACUUGUUUCAUGUGUGCAUAUAGUAAGUAGGUGAAAUAAAGUCAACACAAAACCCUGUGGCCUCUGCUGUUGUAUUUAUAUUAAUUUCAGAAGCAGCUGAAUCCAUGAUGGCAGAAAUCCAGCAUCUGUUAUAGAAGUGGUGGCUAGAGCUGUGCCCAGGAAAGCUUUUUAGGGCUGUGUACAUGUUCCUGUGAGUCUUGAUUUCAUGUGUAUAUACAUUUAUCUUCAGGCUCAAUUGAGGAUUCUAUAGAUUUUUCUAUCUGUAAAACCUACUUAAGUUACUUAAAACAUAGUUUAAUUUUUCAAAUUACAUUUAUUUGGGGUGAGAGAGAUGGCCCCGAGGUGGAGAAUAUUAAUUGCUCUUGUAGAAGACCCAGUUUCAUCUCCUAGCUCCCCUGUGAUAACUCACAACGAUCCAGAACUCCAGGUCCAGUUUGCUACUGUCAUUUGUCCUCCAGUGGUACUAGGCGUGCAUGUACUACAAAGACAUGCAUGCAAACAAUGAAUUCAUGUACAUAAAAUAAAAACUACAUGUAUUUAUUAUUUGCAUGUGUGCAUGAGUGACACAAUUAAACUCAAUGUUUCAGACUUGAUAUCUUUACCCACUGAGUCCUCUCUCCACCUUGUGAUUGGCUGUUUUUGCUUGCUUGUUUGUUUGUUUUUAAAACAAAACACACUGAAAUAAUGAAUGCAAAUUCAUCACUGUGAUUUGUGUACAAUGAACUUAGGCCAAUGUGUUCAUAAAAUUAUGAAGUGUUUAAAACAUGCAGAGUACUUUUUGGAUAUGAAUACAUUCUAGGGGAGGGGACUACCGCUUUGGCUCAGUGUGUAAAGGCACUUGUUGCAUGAGUCUGACAGUAAGUUUGUUCUCCAGAAACCUCUGGAAGUUGGAAGGAGAGACCUAACUUCCAUAUGUGUACUCACGCACAUACACAUCAAACACAACAAUAAUAAAUAAAGUCAAAAAUAAGAAUAUGACCUGGAAGGGUUCACCAGUCCUUGAUUUUGUUUGAGUUUUCGUACUUCUUAUUUUAUUUUUCUUAAGGGUAAAGGAUUGCCUAAGGUUUCCAGGGAUUAUUUAAAUAAUGAAAUUCCUUUUUGUAAAACCGAUAUAUUUCUCAAACAGUGUACUGAAAUGGAAUAUUCCUUGAAUUCUUGUUCAUAAAACAAUCUGAAAGAACGUUGGGGAAUAUUAGCUACUUGGGGACUAUCCGGAAAUGGGCUCCUGAUUGAGUAACACACCCUAGAAAAUUGAAGCCAUUAGUCUGGGUGAUGAGAAACCAGGAAGGACUAUGACCUGACCUAAUUGAAAAGAACAGAUGAUAAAACAUUAACAACCGUGAUCCUCUGAGAAGGAAAUUGAAACGGCCAGCCCAGUGUCUGCUAGCAUUUAGUAUUGUUAGGGGAAUGCUGAGUUCAUUUUUACAGAUUAGUGCUUCACCGAUGAGGAUAGGUGAUAAUGGAGUAACAUGAAAAACCCUCGUUCCUCUUCCGGUCUCCUCAGAGCUCAGUUUGCCAUGCUUAGAUAUGUACUGUGCUACUUUGCGCAUAUAUAGCCUUAGGCUAUAGAAGUAGGGUAGGGGUAGUACCCUAUAAAGGAGAAAGGUGGGAUAAGGUACCUUCAGCUCUUUGAUAAUGGGGUGGCAUUCAGCUAGUUAGCUUAGUCUUCCUGAGCUUGUCUGAGCAGGUUGCUAUAGGAUCAGGUGACGCAUAUAACAUAGACAAGGCAGAACAGUAACAAACCUAUCUUUUCCUGAUGAUUCACCCCAGAGGGGAGUUGAUAGACAUGUGAGGUUUGCAGGGCCCUAUUUUCUAAAAUGAAAAGAGAGACUAGAAAGCAAUAGCUAUCCCUUGGUAAAUGCAGACUGGCCAUCUUCCUGAAGUUAGGCAUGUGCUUUGUUUCAAGUCCCAGUGUUUGGGGCCUUGAGUGGAAUCCAAAUUGCUGGUCAUGGACACGUUAAAGAGGCUUUAGCAGAUGCAGACAUUGCAUGCUGUAUGGAGUGAGCCGGCAAACAGCUGUAAUUUGUUGUUUCAUAUUUUCAUGAAAGGACACAAAUGUUCUAUAUCUAAAUCGAAUGAGACUUAAAUGAAGUUGUUGAAAUUCAGAUCCAAAUCAUUUUAAAAAUACCAAAGUAAGAGUUGACUUUAUUAGCCACUGUGGUUGAAAAAUAAAAGUGAAGAACUAAAUUGUUAAAUCUUUGGAAUUCUACAAAGGGACAAUAGAUAUUUUCCCUGACUAGAUGGUCUUCCAAAUUCUGAGGUUAGAAUUUGCCUAUGACAGUAAUGCAGCCUUGAUUGGAAACAAACAAAUGGAUAUGAAUUAUGGGUGGGAGAGGAAAUAUAUUAGAACACAACAGGAAACAGGAAACAGAGUUUCUCUAAUAAGUAUUAAGCUGUUUGAGUCAGCUACUCUUUGUGUGUGUGUGUGUGUGUGUGUGUGUGUAUGUGUGUGUGUGUGUGUAUUUUAAAAGUUACUUGGGAUGGACUUUAAAACUCUUGUAACUAUAUAAAAUGAACUACCUAACAUGUAAUUUUUAUUUUCAAAGUCUGCAUCCUGGAUAAUCACUCAGUUACAUAUUGCUACAACGAAUAAAUGAAUAUGUUUUUCCUUUGUACACAGAAGGAGGAAUGCUUUUAUGCAUAAAGUAUAGGAUUUUUCUGAGGGCCAAGUAAGACGCAUUAGAGGGUAAAGCGUUUGCUACCAAGACUCUCCCUGGGAUCCACAUGAUGGGAAGACAACUGGCUUCUAAAAGUUGUACUCGCUUGCAUGUUUGCACAUGAUAUAAAGUCAAUGAAUAAAUGUACAAACAGAUCUUUUGUUUUGUUUCAUAUCUUGGGAGAACAACAGAGCUUUUUCUCUACAUUGCCGACUUCUCUUUGUUGAGCUGCUACUACACAGAACCACUGUCCACACGACUGGCUCCUCUCUACCCUUCUAAGUUAGCUCAUAUAUUUUUAUCCCUGUAUAGAAUCACUAUGUUACAGUCUCUGUCUUCUCCCCACUGCACUCAUAAGGCAUGAUUUAUUAUUUAUUUUGCAUCUCUAAUAGUUAUAACAUAGGAUUCAUAUCCAGUGGAUCUCUAGAAACUGUUUAUGGGAUGAAGGGAUGAAAUAAUAAAUGAAUAGUGGGAAAUUGGGUACCAUUGUUGGGGUACAUUUCAGAAAUGUUCCAACAGGAUAAGCCAGACAAAGGAGUGUAAGAGAGAGCUAUUAAGAAAACUAGGAAUGAAAAAGGCCACAAGAAGGCUCUUGUGAUAAUUCAGACUUAUAUUUGGUUGAGACAUAAAACAAAGAUCACGUGAUAGGCACAAGUGAGUUCUGCUGUGAGGAGAGCAUGAUUUUGGACACUAAUUCUGAAUACAAAAUUGAGGCAGCUCUCAAUCAGAUAUUGUUUGCUAGUGCCAAUGGGAGAAAAGAGACUCUAUUGUAGAGCAGACUGACUGCAAAGAGAGACACUGAUAGAAGAGCAAUGUUCCGUUGGAUGUGAUGAUUUUAAAGAAUUUCUUAAGAUAAUAUGAUGAGGCAAAGAGACCAGUGUCUAUGCUGCCUUGAUAUUUAUCUAUUAUUUCGUGUGGUAGCUAUUGUUGCCCUCCCUUGUGUGCUUAAAGUGAACCUUAAGGGGAUCUUAUUCUCUGUAGGUCAGUAAAAGUAUUCAAAGCCAAGUAUCCCAGGGUCAAACACUCAGAUCUUUCUCUGUCCUCAAUGUUAUUCUUACCUGAGGAGAUCACUUGCCCACCUGUACCUCAGUUCUCUUCCUUCUUGUUCCCACUACCUUCCUGAAAAUCUCCUUCUCCUCCUCCUCCUCCUCUUGUUCCUCCUGCUCCUCCUCCUCUCUCUUCCACCUCCUUCUCUUUGUUAUUUUGACCUUUGUAGAUGACAUUUGUCUGGUAGAAACCCAAACAGUUUAUACCUUCUAAGGAUGGUCUUUCAGGAUUAUUUCUUACAUCGUUCGACUGAAAUCUCUGGUCCUUCCAUUGCUUAGUGUUUUGCUUACUUGUAGGGUAUAGGUAUGAACAGGAAGACUACAAAGACCAAAGUAAACCCCAAAUGAAGGGGGUAGAAGAUGCCUAUUAUAGAACAUAUUCAAAACCUUGCACAUGUGUUUUGUUUGUUUCUUUGGGUGUAUUCUUAAGCCAUUGCAAACUAUUGCUGUUUCCUUGGAGCAAAAAGGUUUUGAAUGCCCCAGUGUUUGCACGGUGGAUUUUUAUCCCUGCUUUCUGCUAAUUGCCUCAUUUUGAAUUUUGCACUAACCUUAGGUUUCACUGGCAUCUGGCAGAGCCCUGUCUGUGUAGGUAAAAAUGUUAUACUUUGGAUUCUUUCCUGAGGAAGGGCUCUUUGCAGGCUCUGUGAAAAUAGACGUGAAAUUUCAUGUCACGAAGAAAAUACCCUGUGAUCAGCCUUCGAACUUUCAGCUUCUGCCUUUAUGGGUAAAGACAAGUGAUGUGCAUGGGUUGCUAUGGUGAAGAAGGAAGGGGGACUGGAGAAUUAUGAAAAGACAUUUCAAUAUUCAAAGCAACAACACAUUUGGGAAAUUUACUUUUUGUGGUUUUGUUAUUCAGUGAUCAUAAAGUCAUCUAGUCUACUCAAGUCUGUGUAAUGGCACAGUCUCCGCUGUGUCAUUCUCCACCAUGGCUUUUGGGAGGAGUUCUUUAGAACUGUGAUAAGAGCCAACCAACCUGCCUGCAUUUUUGGAAACCUGCUGUGUCCCUAAUGCUGAACAAGCCCCAAUGGGACACUGUUCCUGACAUAAUGAUCUGUUUAUCUCUUGUUUUCUGUCCCAUUGCUUAGACAGAUAGACUGCAAACAUGUGAAUUGGUGAAUGUAACUUUGUCUUUUGAGACACCUCUGGACAGAACAAAAGAAGCCUAACAUCUGUUGGGUAUGUCGUUUAACUUACAUCUCUCAUCAAUUCCAAGUUAGCUAACAUGAGUUCUCCGUUUUCAAGAGGACUCAGGCACAACGCAGGUGAAUAAUCUCCCCAGGGGCAUGCAGUGGGCACAGAGUAGAGUCAGCUUAUAGCCCAGAGCACAAACUUCUGGUUAAUGUGCCACAAAAAGGUCCCAGCCAGCAGAGUAAGGUAUGAAUGCCAGGGAGUUGGAAUCUCUUUUAUUUGAGCUUGCUUUUCAUUCUCUUCCCUCUCUUUGCUUGGCAAUGGGUAUUUCUCUGCUUUGUUCCUGAAGUGCAGCUGCCCCUUACAUUAGGAUACCAUGAUCUUCAUAGUGUCCUGAAUCUUCCACUGUUUGCUUGUUUAAUCUACUUUGUUGUCAUUUUAACUGUAAUGGUACACUGCUCAUCUCAAUUGUUUAUACCAAGUGUGUGGACAGAAUAAGGCCUCUUUCUUUCUCUUUAUCUUCUGCACCUCCUCGCUGAGACGGAAGUGCUUUCUUGGUUUCAUUGCAUCAAAGGAUCACAGAAUGCAGUAAUGCCAAGUUAUAGAAUGCAUUUUUUGGCAUAUAACUCUAGAAGGGAAAUCUCCUGGUUAAGAGAAGACAUCCAACUUCCUGGAACAGUCACAGACAAUUGUGACCUGCCUACUAUGAGUACCAGAAACCAAACCUGGGCUUUCCACAAGAGCAGUAUACACCAUGCCAUUCUUUAACUUCACUGUGUUCUCAUGUUACUACUAUUCAAUCAUGGAAUCCACUUUUAUGGCCUUAUCAAAUUUUGAUGACUUUUCAAAAUCUCCAACAUCAUAAUCCAAUUUAUGCCUUGUCUGCCUUAAAACAUCACAAAAUACUCCCAUGAAUUCUCAAAGGAUGCAAACUUUACUACAGUCAUAGCAGUGAGUAUACAUAUAUGGGAAGUAAGAGCAUUGAAGGUUCAGUGUUGAUGGGCUCAGGUAUACACUGGACUCUUAGACCCCUGUGAGUAGGUAUGAGACCAUUGUGUAGAAAGUUAGGUAUGUGCUGUGAGUUCUGUCUUCAGAAUAUCUUGAAUUCAUAAGCAUUUAGUGUCUUGAAUGCCAAGGCUAAGAACUACAUAGUGAAGGAAUGGCUAAGUUAACCAUCUUCAUCCAGAAGAAUCCUACAGUUUAAUGCCCUGUCUGUCAAAGAAUAUUAUCAAAACAUUCAGAUGGCUUCUUGAGACACAUAGUAGUAAACUUCAUCUCCAGAGUCUGACAUUCAGGAGUUCUGGACUGGGGUUGUAUAAAUUUAAUUUCUAACAUGCUUUGAGGUAAAGUGGGUUUUGCUCCUCCUGGACCAAAUAUUGAGAGCCAUGCAUCAGCUGAGAAAUGUGAGAAAUCAUAUCUCAAAUCUGACCCAUGGAGACUGAAAUAUACAGAAUACCAAGUUAUCCUCAAAAGAUGCUCUUGCCCAGGGCACAUCUAUGAUGGCUGAGGGGUUACCUUAAUGAAAGCCAUAUAUGGGCCAUAGCUCACAGUCUUACAAGAUCUAUUUUGAAAUACAUUAAACUUAUAUGAGUAUGAAAACAUAUACUACAUGGAGUAAUGUGACUAUGUGAAGCAUCUAAUAUGUAAUUCUAUAUUGUGAAAAUCUCCCUGGUCAAUCUUCAUGGUAAGAUAGCAUUGUCCACAGAACAUCAUUUAUUGUACUAGACUCCAUGAAGGUAGUCUUGGCCAAUGCUUGUUUGCGGGAGACUAGGACCUUUGAAGCAGUUUCAAAUUGUUUAAUCAUUUAAGAAUGCAUGGUGAGUGUUUUGGUCCAAUCAGAACUUACUAUGAAUCAAAAGAUCACAAAGGAAUAAAAACAACUUGAUCCUGAGCCAGACUCAGUGGUGUGUUUUCCUUCUACACACAGUUUCUGCCUUACUUACAUGCAUAACUGCUACAAUUUGGACCAGACUCUUCAGUUCUGUGUUAUCAGUCUGUUACAUGCAAGCACAUGGACCAGGUUCUUAGAAGGCCCACCCUUAACAUCAGAUACAUAUUCUCUGUGUAAACUAUUUGAGGUAAAGACUUGAAAGAAUCCUCAAAGGCUCAAAUUCUCAUUCUAGGUCUCAUUAAAAGUCUUUAGAUCUAUACAGGUAUCUGGUACCAGGUUUUGUUUUGACAGUUUGCCUCCUGCUUUAUCAAAGCUUUUGUAGGACUUCUAUUGAGAAAUAGGAUGCUACAGGGUGCCAUUAUCUUAAUGGAAUGGACCCACUCAUGACUGGGGUAGAAUGGCAUGACAGUUACCUACACUAGUCUUGUAAUUCUCCAUUUUCAUGUUAUGCAAAAAAGUACAAGGGAUUUGUCCUUUCUGGUAAACUCAAUUCUACAUUAGGUUCUUCUUUGAAGAACCUACAGGGUCAGUUCCUGUAUUGUCACCAUUGGAUUUGUUACAGUGAAAGGAAUGAAGUUGAGUUAGUAAAAGGAGUUACUUCAAUUGUAUGCAUUCAACACUGGAAGAUGUGCUUGGCAAGAGCAACUAAUCCUGGAGCAUUGAUAUUUUCCAUGAUGGUCUGCCUUGUUAGCUUUUAGUGCUGUGAAGGACUGAUGAAGCGAAUUUCUUAAUUGUUGGCAAACUCAACACAGCACAUUCUUAAACAAUUACUCAUGUAAUAUUAGCUUAUUACUUCAUAAUACCUUUAGUUUUUCAUAACUUCCAGUUGCCUUCUCUGACAGAGUGUUGAACCACAGUGCUUUUCUGUGUCACAGUGGCAUGUUUUAUCUUCUGAACUUGGCUUCAUUGUUGUCAACUGUUUUAAUUUGCCUUUACAUGUCAUAUGUUUAGAUAAUAAUUAGCAAAUAAUUCAUGGAUUAAAGGAAGCAUUGAGAAGGAUCUGAAGGAAGAAGAAAAAUUAAAAGUAUGGAAGUACUUUAAAAAGUACUACCUACUUUUUAAAAAGAAUUAUAAACUACAACCAUGUCUUCUAUUGUAAUGACUGUCCUAGUAGGUGUUGUGUAUCAGUUGGCAUUUGUCAUCUCUAUUUGUCAAGAUGGAUUUUUAAAAACUGGUUGUGAUAAAUGGAAGGAAAUGUAGUAUUUCUAUAUUUGAACCAAUUUGUUCAUUUGCAGGCAGCUGCUCCUGAUUGUGUCUUUGCACGUCCAUUGAGUCUAGAAUCUAUCUCACUUAGGAUUCUAAUUUAGUCUUUCAAUUUUUUAUUUCAUGUAGGUAUAUUUAAGUAUGUAUGGACUUACAUUUUUAUCAUUUAAUGUCAUUUUCUUGCUUUCCUUUUUUUUUGAAAAACUGAAGCCAUCUGUUUAGUCAACAUGCAAAAUUGAUGGAUAUGAAACUCAAAAAGUUCAUAAUGACAACUAAAUAACAGAUGACAAAUUAGAUAAGAACGAGUCAUUAAGUUGGCCUAUAAAAGGACAGCCAUCUGUGCUACUAAACCAUCUUCCCAUUGAUGGCAGCGAUCAUCUCCCAAGUUCAUGACAGCAGAGAAUUUACAGAAGAAGAUGGGAAGCUUGUAAAUUGAGAAGUCCAACUGGAUGUUGGGCAAUCAGUGCCUGUUUUGUCCCAGUGCUGUAUGAUAUGUCAAUAGACAUCCUAAGACAAUUCUUUGAGAACAGCCAUUGCUUCUGUCUUUCAAGUGAUACAUUGAUAAAUUUACCAUUAUUUUGUUAGGCUGUGCUAUUGGUUUAAAAGAUUUUUAAAUUUCUUACAAGUCUCUUAUUGAGGCUACAGAAAACUGAUUAUACUUGUCCUAUGGUCAGUGGAACAAUAUAAGGUAUAAUAAUCACAGAACCACAGAACUGAAAGGCACACAGGGCUACACAGGGUCACAUGGGGCCACAUAGAGCCACACAAGGCCACUCUGUUGCACUCAUGCUGCCAAGGUUGGAUCAUUUUAUAUUCACUAACAAAAUACCAAACAAUGCCAAGAACAAACAGCAUUGUGAAUUCUCUAUAGAUAAUGGCAUAGGUGAAUUCUGUAUAGAUAAUGGCAUAUGUGAAUUCUCUAUAGAUAAUGUCAUUUAUUCAGUACAGUUUGACAAAUCAGGCAGCAUGCAUGUACCUGGUUAAUUGAGGGAAUGUAUGAAUAUUUGUCUGUUUGUCUACCAACAGAAACCAGACUGAAUUGGCUGGGUUUCAUAUGAAACUCUAUAUUCACUAUGAUCUCAGCAAUAGACUAACCUCAGUCAUGCUAAAUGGAUUUGAACUCUGACCUUUAAAGUGGUCCUUUUGUUAGGAUUACCUUGGCUGAGUGACUUUGCUGGCUUGAAUUCUAAUUCUGUUUCUUCACGCCCUUAGAGCAAACAUAUCAUAACUGAUGCAGAGCAAGUAUAUCCUAACUGAUGCUCACAGAGUGAACUCUUGUUGAGGUUGGAUUGCGUUUGAGACUUCAGGAUAAUUGUAGCAGGAGAUUUCUUUUUCUUUUUUCUUUUUUUUUUUUUUUGGUUCUUUUUUUCGGAGCUGGGGACCGAACCCAGGGUCUUGCGCUUCCUAGGCAAGCGCUCUACCACUGAGCUAAAUCCCCAACCCCAGCAGGAGAUUUCUAAUACCUAGACUAGAUGUGGAGGGACAAGAAAAGCUUCAUGUCUUGCAGUCCUGUGUCUUACAUUUUCCUUGACCUGCUGGACCACACAUGUAUAGAUAUGAAAUAUGUAGAACAAAGGAAAUAAAGUACUAACACAUCUGCUUUUUAUGAGUAGUGACUUAUAUCAUUUUAAUAUACAGGAUACUUUGAUAUGCACCUAUAUAUUUUAAAGGUGUAAUAAUUGCAUUUGUAUUUAGAAAUAUUUGGUACCUACUACUUUUCUACUUCAUUGUGUGGCCCAUGAUAUUAAAAUAGCCCUAUUAUGACAAAUUUUAUUGUAUCAUUUGCCUUUUAAUUUGGGCAGUUCUUUAUCAUGGUAUCUUUACACUUUAUCAUGACAGAAUGACUUAGCAUGUAAAUUGCUGAUCACCAUUGAAUGUUUCCAUAGAUAUAAGCCAGACAGGACACAUGUACAAGUUUAACAAGGCUUUUGUUGCAUAUUACCACAGUUUUCUCCAGAAGAAAACCUCAUUGUGCUAUGAAUGUCUUCUUUGCACAUUUCUUAGUAUAAUUAUUUUAAAAAAUAAGCCAUGACUUUAAUUGUGAAAUGAUGUCUCAAAUUAAUUGAAUUAUUUCCCUUCUAAGAGUGUCCUUUUUUCAUUUCUUUUCAGCUACUUGAAUAUUUUUCUUGUAUGAAUUGCAUCCUUUUUUUUUUUUGCUCAUUCUCAAUAUCUAGAGUUGAUUUUAGUAUUAAUUGGUAACUCCUUUUUCAUAUUAAAGCUCCUAGGCUUGCAAAAUGUCAUAUGUUUGCAAAACAAGAAGGAAUUGCUUCUUUGUUUGAUUAACAGUAUUAUGCCAAACAGUAUCCAUGCCUAAUUUGGUGUCUAAAUUGAUUGAACAAAGAGAGUAAUCAGACUUAGACUGGCCAGCAGGAAGAAAUGCAGUAUACCUGCUCUGAGGUCAGGACUGCUGUGCUCUGGGGAAUAGGGAAAGUCCUUUCAGCAGUUUUAAAUCUUCAGCCUUUGCAUCAUGUGGUGGAAUUCAGUGGUCUAUUCCAACAAGCAUGGAACUCAUAGUAUUCUUUGGGUGGCUCAUCAUUGUCUAAACACUAAAGUCCUUACAGACAGACCUUCCCUAUGUGAACAGAAAAGCACACUUAUCCAAAAGUUCAGGAGCAAUGGACAGUUUGUAUUGUCUUUAUCAUUGCAAUGUUUCAUAAAGUCUCCAAUAGAUGGGUCCAUAAUAGAAAUUCAUGAAUAAAAUCAGACCAGGGAGACAGCUCUAAUGGGGAUAUGUGGUUGCUACACAGGUGUGAAGGACAGAGUUCAGCUCUCAGAAGCUGAGUAAAUUAUCAGGGAUGGGGGUGGGAGGUGGGUAUGGUAGCUUUCUUGGAAGGAAGGCAGAGAAAGGAAAUCUUACAACAAGGUAGUCUAGCAGACUAGCCUAAUUGGGGGAACUCUGCCUUCAAAAAGAAACUUCAAUGUAAGGCAGAGGAGAUCCAGAAAGACUCCUGGUCUACCCUGAGGCCUGCAUGUGCCUGUGUACAGGUGCACAUGGACCUGUACACACAUGUGCCCACACAUACACACAAAUACAUACAUACGUAAGCACACUUCACACACAGGCAUGUAAAUAAAAAUCAGUUGUGUUGAAGUACCUUUGGGAAGAAUCUUUUCAAGAUUACCUCAUUACACUGUUGAAGCAUUAUGAACAAAUCAAAGUGGUUCAUUGAAGAUUAAGGCUUUCAGUUGAGCCACCUGUUGUGUUAUGUAGUCCUGAUUGACAAAGGAGGUGUGAGCACAGGACAGGAGAGCUCCUGCUGAGUUGCAGGAGCACUCUGACCAGAAGCAGCUAGUCCCACAGGACACACCUUAUUUUUUAGCAACUAAAGAAGCUGAGUGAAUGUAUUUCUCAGAAUAAAUGUUUUUAGAGAAAAAAAAAAGAACAAUCCACUGCUCUUUAUGUUAAAGUAAUAAUAUUCACACACUGCUUGAAGCAAUAUAUCAAAAAAUUUAACAGCUGGAUAGAUUGGAGACCUAUGAUAUUUCUUCCAAUUUUUAACAUGUGUUAGGUUGUAAAAUUUUUAGUUUCCAAUUGUUCUAUGUAAAUCUUUUAUCUUUGAAGACCCCUGCCUCCAGCUUAGAGCUAAAGGAUUUAGUGUUUAAAAGCGUUUAGCAUAUUUUUGCCUACAUUUUCCAAGUUUACUGUUAAAGGUUUCCCUCCCAGCUUCCUAUACAACAUCAGGUAACAGAAUUUUUUUUUAUUUUCUGUUUAGAUAGCAUUUGUUAGGCACCUUCUGUAAGCAGAACACUCUCAAGUGUUAGAAAUAAAAAAAAUGAGAGCCAUAAUUGCAUAUCUCUGAUAGCAAUUAGGAUAGUAGAUAAGACAGUCUCCAAAAGAGGCAGUUACAGUGCAGGGCAAGAAGGAAACUGGCAGUUGUACAGGUUGUUACCGAAGCAGUGAGGGUUGGCAAAUUUUUCCAAGACUCCCUAAAGCAGUGAUUAUUAACCUUUCUAAUGCUGUGACCCUUUCAUAGAGUUUCUCAUGCUGUGGUGACCCUCAACUGUAAAAUUUUAUUUUUGUUGCUACUUUAUAACUCUAAUUUUGCUAUUAUUGUGAAUUGUAAUGUAAAUAUCUCUGUUUUUUGGUUGUCUUUGGUGACCUCUGUGAAAGGGUUGUUUAACCCCUAGAAAGGGAUCACAACCCACAGUUUGAGACCUACUAUUGUAAUGUCAGGGUUUUAGAGAAAAAUCUUUAUGGGCAUACUCAUUGGUCAUGUUUAGGCUUAGAAAAUAAAGAGAAUGUUGCUUAUAGCUGUGUAUAUGCAAUUUUGUUCGUUUUUUAAGUUAGAUGUAAUUAAACACCAAGAACCCAAAUAACCCAAUUAAAAAAUAGAAUACAGAGUUAAACAGAAUUCUCAACAGAGGAAUCUCGAAUGGCUGAGAAGCACUUAAAGAAGUGUUCAACAUCCUUAGUCAUCAGGGAAAUGUAAAGCAAAACAGCCCUGAGGUUCUAGAAUGGCUAAGAUCAAAAACUCAAGUGACAGCACAUGGUGGUAAGGAUGUGGAGAAACGGGAAGACUCCUACAUUGCUGGUGGUAGUGCAAACUAACACAACACUUUGGAAAUCUAUCUGACAUUUUCUCAGAAAAUUGGAAAUAGUUCUUCCUCAAGACCCAUCUAUGCCACUCCUGGGUGUAUACCAAAAAGAUGCUCCACCAUACCACAAAGAUACUUGCUCAAUUAUGAUCAUAUCAGCUUUAUUUGUAAAAGCCAGAAACUGAAAAGAGUCCAGAUGUCUUUCAGCCAAAGACUGAAUAAAGAAAAUGGGGUUCAUAUAUACAGUGGAGUACUACUCAUCUAUUAAAAACAAGGACAUCAUGAAAUUUGCAGGCCAGUGAAUGGAACUAGGAAAUAUCAUCACCCUGACUCAGAAAGACACACACAGUAUGUACUCACUUACACAUGGACAUUAGCCAUAAAGUAUAGGAUAACCAUGGUACAAUCCACAGACCCCAAAAAGGAGGGACCGAAGGAGGGUGCUUGAAUUUCACUCCAAAGAGUAAAUAAAAUAGACAUCAGAAGUGGAUGGAAAGAAAGAACUCGGUGGGAGAGGGGGUGGGGAGGAGAAUAGGAAUAGGGAUCCGAUAUGGGCUAAGCAGGGAUGAGCAGUGAGAGGACUUGGAGAGAGAAGAGAAAUCAUUGGUGGGGAACUUCUCUGGGUCAAGAUAUGAAUAGGAAAGAGCAAAGAUCGUUGGUAACAUCUCUGCUAAGUUUCAAUAUUAAACCAAGUAACCUAUAUAUCUAUUUUAUUAUCCAUUUUUAUCUGCAUGAGAGAGCAGAUGAAUUGUGCCGUAAGUAGAGUACCAUCUGAAGCAUUGGGGUAGUUAUGAGCACUGGCUGUGACUAUGGACUACAUUUUCAAGUGUCCCAGGGAGAAGACUAUUACCAAGGCCCUAUAUGAGUCCUUCCGGCUUUCCUCACACUUUGUUGUUCUUCUCUUACUAUAGCAUAUCUCAUUUAGCUCAUCCAUUCCUUUAUUUAUGACCAUAGAACAUUUUAUUAUAGCUUUGAAAAUGGCAUGUGAUUUUGCUCCUUCAUCAUCAUCAUACAAGGUGACUUGGUCUCCUAUUACCUGAGGACCUUGUAUUAGAAUGUCAUUUUGCGUAUCACUCCUUUCAAUAACCAAGUCUUAUUAGGAAAAAUAAAAGUCAGCUGAACUAAGCAAUGUGUGCAGCAUUGUGGUUGUCUGACAUUUGGGGCAAGGUCCCUUGCGUUAGUCAACUAUUGCUACGUAGCCACCCACAUUUAGUGGUGUAAAAUAGGACACAUUUUUACCUCACAGUUUGUGAGUCAAAUUAUGGUGGUGAAAGCACUCGGGUUGAAGUGGGAAGAUGGCUAUGGGAAGAUCGCUAUCAGUUUGAGGCUAGCCUGGCCUAUACUGUGAAACCCUUUAUGAGCGCACAUCUUCUAAAAAAGCAAACCCACACUCUCAGGCUUUCCUCUACAUUUCCACAGGGCUCGGGAGGUGGCCACUAAGCAGCAUGGAUGGGAAAAGGUCUUUCAGGCUGCCAUUGGUUACUGGUUAAAUUCAUUCCCUCAUGAGUCUGGGACUCAAGAGCUCUUGUUUCUGCAAGUCCAACUAGCGAGAAGGCUCUACACUGAGCUUUUCCAUGUUCUCUUCUUCCAAGAGGAAGGGUUAUGUCCAAAGCCAUGAAUGCUGCAAAGAAGAAUGACAGGUUCUGCCUUGUCACAGGAAACCAUAUUUAGUGGAUGUGAUAGUAUAUGCCUGUGAUCCAAGUACACUGAGGCAUUGGAUAGCCAGUUUGAAGCCAGACUUAGUUAUAUAGUAAGGAAAAAAGGAAUGAAUGAAGGAAAGAAGAAAUGAAAGAAGGAAGUGAGAUGGAGGGAGAGAAAGGUGGAGUGAGGGAAGAUGGCAGGACAGAGGGAGGAAGGAAGCUGUCUUUGUUGAAGGUUUUGGUUUAUUAUAGCUUAUUCUGGGAUGCAUUUAUAAUUUAGAGUUUGUUACCACAAUGUCUUAGGGUUUCUAUUCCUGCACAAACAUCAAGACCAAGAAGCAAGUUGGGGAGGAAAGGAUUGAUUCAGCUUACUUCCAAGUUGCUGUUUCGUCACCAAAGGAAGUCAGGACUGGAACUCAAGCAUGUCAGGAAGCAGGAGCUGAUGCAGAGGCCAUGGAGGGAUGUUUCUUACUGGUUUGCUUGCCCUGGCUUGUUCAGCUUGCUCUCUUAUAGAACUCAAGACCAUCAGCUUAGGGAUGGUACCACCCACAAUGGGCUGGGUCCUCCCCGUUUGAUCACUAAUUAAGAAAAUGCCUUACAGCUGGAUCUCAUGGAGGCAUUUCCACCACUGAGCUCCUUUUUCUGUGAUAACUCCAGCUUGUGUCAACUUGACACACAAAACUAGCCAGUACACCCAGUAAACAUUACACUUGGGAUAAUUGUCUUCAAAUUACUGUUGCUUAUAGCUUAUAUAUUUUCAAAAUAGUUAUUAAACACUUUUGUUAUGGAAUUGGUCAGGUUUUUUCUUAAUCUAUGAGAAACACUGGCCUAUAUUCUAAAACCCAUUUGGAGACCCAAACUUUAUUUGUCCACAUGAAAAAUACUAGUAUGUGACACGCUAUUUCUCUUUUUAUUGGCUCAUCCCAUAUAGUCCUGCAUCUUUCAGAACACUUAAGAAAGGUGUGGAAAAUGUUCAGGUUACAAGUUGAAUUCAGCAGUCUCGUAAUUGUUUCCAUGUUAGUAUCUAACAUUUAAAACUUGAGAUAUGUGUAUAUGUCUGUUUCUGCUUUUAUUUUCUUAGAUGAAAAAAGUGCCCCCAGUACCCUUUAAACUUGCUAUGUAGUUGAGAAUUUCUUAUCCUCCUGCCUACCAAGAUAACAGCAUCGACCAUCAUGUCUGUUUUAUAUGAUGCUCUCAAAUAGAUCCUCUGGCCUUGUACAUGGUAGGCAAGUACUCUCUUGAGUUAUGACACCUCUCGUACAAGUCUUAUUUAUAUUUUUUUCAUUACAAGGUGGGCCUGAAAUAAUGCUUUAUUAAUGGAUUUAGUAAAAUACAGUGCUAUUUUGAUUUUUAUACAACUUGCUCCUCUACCUGUAGAGACUAAGUCUCUCUACAGAGCACAAUGUUAAUGCGUGAAUCUGUUGGAUGUUGAAUGAUUCACUCUGCAAACACGCUCACUGAUCCUGCUUCUAUAGUCUCUAGAACUACAGAAGGUCAUGUAGGUGACUAUUUUAAUGUUAGCUAAAUUCAUUCACCUGUCCGUGGCUUGACGGGCUGGUGAUGAUCAAAGAUGAUCCAGACUCUCAUCUUUGGCCUGGCUGACUUUGUUGUCUUCUAAAUAUUUCUCGUCCUGCAGCAAUCUGGGCCAGGCAUGCUUCCACACUGAUAGAGAGAAAAAUCAAGCAGAGAUAUCCAAUGCCUUUUUAGGCCUCUUCGGGAUUGUGUUGGCUAGUGUGACACUGGCUAAAUCAAAGUCACAUAGAUGAACCAAGUAGCUCAGGCUGAGGCAGAAAGCACCAUACCAGAACACUCACUGUAAGAUGAGCUGGCAUCAGGAUCUUCCUCUGUGAACACGUGCCCAAGCCUGAGGUUUGGUCUGGGUCUGCUUUGGGAGCAUGCAGACGCGGAUCUAAGUAGAUUUCCCAGAACUCAAAAACUAAGCCCUUACAAAGAAUUACCUGCUAGACACUCAGCUUUCUAUUUUUUUCAAUUGGGGCUUCUGAGUUUAAUUUAUUUCUUAUUUUCUGUGGAGAAAAAAAAAUCCUUGUUUUUAAUAUAGUUUCUAUGACCUUAGAAAGUUCCCGUGGUAGCAUGUGAAAUGCUGCUGGCAGUGUUGGAAAAGGGAUGCCCAUUGCUGUUUGUUGUUGCUCAAAGGUGCAAAUACUAGAGUUUUUAAAAAUGAAGUUACAUCCUAAAAGCUCCUUUUGUUUAAGUAGUAACUGUUGUCCAUUUAAUUAUGCAUCACUGUUGGACAGAUGGUAUUCAACCGUCAGGUGUGGAAAAACAUUACGGACUUCGUGUCUCUGCUCCAAGGGAUAGAUAAAUGAACACUGUUUGGGCGUUGGUUAGUCACUGCUGGCUGGUGCUUUUAUUAUCAGGCUUUGGGAUGACUUAUUUUUGCCACUUUACUGUAACUUUUUCCUCUAACUAGAAAGAUGGGUAUGUCCAGUAAAUGACAGAACCAUAUAUAAGGGGGAAAAAAAAUCAGUGAUCUGAACACAGAAUUCAGUGCCUUAAAUUUGACAUCAAAUGGAAGAAUCUUCUUGGGGCUAUGGAAAAAAAUUCCUUCUUAAUACCCCUUCUCCUGUUUCUACAGCCAUUUGUGUCUACAGUAACAUUGGUGUAAAAGCAUUACAGUUUUGUUUUGGUAAAUUGCAUGAGUAAUCGUCCCCCCAGCACUUGCUAAGUUGCUGCUUCCUGUUUUAAUGGCUGUAAUAUAUUUGUAAACAUGUUUCUAACUUACUAGAAAACAUGUUGGUUCCAUCUCAUUUAUUCGCAGACAACUUACUGUCUGUUGAAUCCUCUGCUUCUUUUUUUUUCUAAUGACUCCUUUGAAAUAUUAUUUUAAUGAACCCAUGAAACACAUCAUUGUAUUCCUUAUAUUGUGGUUGGACUGCUAAUGAGACUCAUCCAUUAAGUAAAUGGCUUUGUAGGCAAUGCAAAUGUAAUAAAUAAAGUUAGUCUGCACGUCUUGCUACUUUCUUGCUGAUGGGCAUACCACAUACUGAGAAGGUAAUGUUUCAUGACCAGGACAGUUCAAUUGGUAGGCAGAUUGGGAAUCUUUGCAUGAAAAAAAAAUGAAGAAUAUCAUAAAAACUUAGCUGCAACUCUAUUUUUUACUAAUCAGGAGAUAAUGUAUUUUGACUUCAGAUGUUCUAGUUCAAGAUGAUAUGCCAAUAGAAGGCAUUAAGUGUGCAUAUAUCCAUAGGAAAUGGACUUCUUUGUAAAUAAAGGAGAAAGAAAAUCUAUUGAAAAAUCUUCCUCCUCAAAUCCACUGUGUGUGUAUAUAUCUGUGUAUCUCUCUCUCUCUCUCUCUCUCUCUCUCUCUCUCUCUCUGUGUGUGUCUAUCUGUCUGUCUGUCUGUCUGUCUGUGUCUGUCUGUUUCUGUGUCUGUGUCUGUGUCUGUGUCUGUCCUGUCGUGUUGUGUCUGUGUCUGUGUCUGUGUCUGUGUCUGUGUCUGUGUCUGUGUCUGUGUCUGUGUCUGUGUCUGUGUCUGUGUCUUUGUUUUAGGGCAAAUCUGGGUAUCAGUGCUUACCUUCUACUUGAACUGAGUCAAUCUUACUCUGCUUGUUUGUUGCUGUAUAUGCUAAGACUUUGACUUUCUGAUGAUUUCUCUGUCUCCCAUCCCAUCUCACCACAUCACACAGGAGCACUGGGGUUAAAGGGGCCUGACGCUAACGUUGCAUCUGGAUUUGCAUGGCUUUUGGGAAUUUGAACUCAAGCCCUCAUGCAUUAUAUACACUGAAGCCGUGCCCCUGGCCAGAAAAAAAAGUUUAAAAAAAUUAAGAAAGCAAUUUUUACAAAACAAGUAAACUAAAUUUGAUCACUUUUUACUUAGCAAGCACCAGUGUGAGCUUUGAAUUUUAUGUCUCACACGUAAGGCACCAUUGGUGUUAGAGUUCUCUUCCAUAUCUAGUUUCUGUAGGACGCGGCUGGAACUAUAAAUCCCCCUGUUGAUAUCUCAUCUUUCUGCCUGUUUGCAGAAAAAUGUUGGGGACCCUUACCAUUUAGUGUCUUGUUGGUAAAAGCUAUUACCAGCAAGCAAUAAGUAUUUUCUUCAUCGUUUCUAUAUUUAUAAUGAAACUGUGCCUUUGGCUCUAGAUCAGUGAAAACACGACAUUGCCAUGCAACUAUCAUUCGAGUAGUCUGGCUGAGCUGGUGAUGUUGCUAGGUUUUCACAGAAGCUAAAGGCCAUAACCUUUAAGAACCAGUGUAGUGAUUCAUGGACAUUUUCUGAGGCAUUCUCUAAGAAGCGCUUGUUGGUUUGAACACAGAUAUGAGCUUAGUUGGGAAUGGCUCAUCUUCCCUCAGCCGGACCCUCUCCUUUGUGUCAAACCCACUGGCCUCAGAAUUGCCUUGACAGAAAAGAAGAGGAAGAGGAGACGAGAUAAAGCUUUGCAGACAACAAAACUUAAAGACUGUCUUUAGUUCUCUAAUAACAGUUGUACUCAGAAAUGACUAUCACACCUUCAGGUGAGAAAAUUUACAAUUAAAAAGAAAUUAAAGAUCAGUGGAGAAAAGUCAUCAGGAAAGAUGCAGAAGAUAGGCUUGACAGUAUGCACUUGGAAUCUUUGCAAUCAAGAAACUGAGUUGGGAGAAUGUCUGAUUUGAGAUCUGAGGUACAGAAUGGCAGUUUCUAAACAACAGACAGACAUACACAUUGAUGUUUCUAUUAUCUGGGAAGUCAACGAGUUGUUGUUUUGAGAUUGGGGCACAAAUAGCUCAGGCUAACCUUUAACUGUCAACGUAGCCAAGGCACACCUUGAACUUCUGGCCUCCUGCCUCAGUCUCCAUCUCUACAGGAAGGAGUCCACAGUUCAGAGGGAUACCUAUUAAUGAUAGAGGAACACUCAUUGACAACUUCUUCUACAUGUUUUAAGGAGUUUGGGUGACCUUUCUGAGUGAGACAAGUUAUUUAAAAUAUUUAUUGUAUAGGAGUGGGGUAAAUAAUGUUCUUGAACUGAAGUAUGGCAUAGUAUGUUGAUAGAAUUUACUCUAGAGCAUUUUAUGGUAUUUAAGCCAAGGAAUAUUAGCUAAUGAUGUGGUUUCAAGUAAAGUCUGAUAUUUGUCUAAAGAUACUUUUCAGAUAGUAUUUGAGGUAAAUGUAAUGCCCGUCUUUGUGGAUUUCAUAUUUUAUGUUUAAGACAUUAAAAUAGAACUUUGAACUGGAUGGUGGUAUGAUUUGAUAUCUACUUCAUGGGAGCAUUAAAAUAUAGCUUUAAGUGGGUUUAUUUUUAUUUAGGGAAAUAGUCUCACAGAUACUUAUGAAACUAGGCUUUUUUCCCCUCUCCCUAACUUCCCUGACAAGCCACAAAAGUCAACAUGUUUUCUUCUCACAAGUUUGAAGAACUCUCUAAAAAAUCAAGCCUCCUGCUAUUUCUGUACUUUCUCCUCACUUUUUCCCAACUCAUGACGGUUGCCUUUUACACCCUCAAGAAAUAGCUUAACCUGAAAUAUUUUUUAGGGUGCACACACAUUGCCAAAGAUACGGACUUGUGGAAUUUAUUUUCUGCUGUGCUGCCAUGGGUGUGCUUCUCAAUCUGUUCUCACACAAGGUAAGAACUUCCAGAUGACACGGGGAGAAAAUAGAAGUGAAGUAGAAAUGUUUGCAGGCACUAGGUGCCUAAUGUUCACUCUUAGGAGUUGUUAGUAGUGUUAUCUUUAUUGAACACAUCUCAUUUGGUAUGCUUGCUAAGCUCUUGGCAGAACAGACAGAAACACACACACACACACACACACACACACACACACACACACACUGUAGAAAUGUUACUAUAGGACAGAGAAUGGAGACGUGUUAGCAAUUCCUAGUAAAAUUGCCUUCUGUAAGUAAAGGCAAAAGACCAGGAUGUUUUUGAAAUCAUUAAUUAGUGAUUAAAGGAAUUAUUCUGGAGAUCUGCUAAGCCACUCCACAGUAAUUUAAAGUUGGCAACCUGUGAACAGUUCCCCGUCUGCUCCAUUGAGGUUGGCCAGCUCCUGUUGGAAAAAUGUAGUUAUGGAGUUUGAAAGCAAAGUGCAAAAUGGCAUCCUUAAAAAUUGGAGCUGUCACAUUAAAUUAUGUCACACGUGAUGACAGGUUACAAGAGAAAAUGAUACAGGAUUUAUAAACACAAGCCACUGAAAGCUCAGUCAAUGCUAUUCUAGAUGUCCACUGUCAUUAGAAGUCACUUUCUGUCCAAACGCAGUGGAGUUCAGAGCUUUCACCAGGAAAAACUAAACCAGAAAAUGAAAGUUUACUGUUAGGAAUGAUCCUAUCCAUGAAGAUUUAGACUAUAGAUAGAUAAGCUGGCUAUUUUACCAUGGGGCAACAAGCUCCACACUGCAGCUUAGAUUAGCAUAAAGAAAAGAGACAUUAUGAGAUUUGCUAUGGAAAUCGUGACAGGGGAGCAUUGGGGAAUGUAGAGCAGCAUUAGCAACUUAUCAGAGACAGCGUGUCAAAAGCUUUCUUCUCCAAUGCUGCAGAUGAAACUGAGUAAUGUGGUGGGAUGGGUAAGUGGGAGUUGCCUAGAAGUACCUCCCCUCUGACUGCCUGAUACCCACCCUUAACUCUAGGUAUGGCUGCUAGAGAAGUUGGCUGUUAUAAGAAGCUUAUUUUAGAUACAUAUAUCCCCCUCCCUUGCUCUGUUCAGGUACCACAGUCUCUGGUCUAAUAGACUUACGGAAACUUCAAAAUUCAAUAGAGGAUAGAAGUUAAAAAUCUCCUCACAAAUACUAAUAUCAUUUUCCUGGGAGUUUUCAGUACUGAACUAGUCAGAAUGGGCCAUUCUGCUGCUUUUUUCCCCAGUAUAUUGAACUGCAUUUGACAGACCAUGUACAAGGCAAGAUUACUUACACAAAUUCAAAUGUAUAAAAUUAUAUUCACUUGCUAGAAUUUAACUUCUUAUUUUAGAAACACAUGCUGUCAGGUUAAUGGAAGAAAAUUUAUAUUGUUUUAUGAAUUCCACUCAAUUUUCCCCCGGGGCAAUAUGUGUUCUAGGUAUGGAACAAUAUCAAAUCUGGUACCUAUUAUUACUGUCCACCCUGGUAUGCAGGAGACAGUUGCCCAUUUUCUCACAUCCCUGUGAGGUCCCGGCAGCUGUCACACAUCCCUGCAUUGCUGUUGUCUACCCAACCUCUGGAACAGGAGGUUUCUGUGCUGCCCAUGACCAUUGUGUGGUGACGCAGCUUUCUCCUGUUUUCAUCAGAUCUCAUGACAACUUAGGGUAUCAAUAUGACAGUCACACACUUUUGAAAUGAAAACACCAAAAGACAACAUAGUAGGCUGGGAAAUGUCUCAGGUGGCACAGAUGGACCUGGCUUUCAGGACUACAUAUGACAAAGCUGGGCACCAUGGUAUGAACUUGCAAUUCCAGCACAGGUGGAGAAAGCAAGAUCCCUUCACCUGCUGGCCAAUAAGGCUAGCUUAAUUGGUAAAGUCCAGCCCAGUGAGAAUACUCUUCUCAAAUGAAGUAAGCCAGUCUUCCUGUUCCUGAUAAUACUGGAGGUCAUUUUGGCUCUCUUUCUCUGUCUCUGUCUUGGUGUAUCUCUGUCUCUGUCUCUGUUUCUCUCUCUCUCUCUCUCUCUCUCUCUCUCUCUCUCUCUCUCUCUCUCUCUCUCUCUCUCUCUCUCUCAUGCACCUAAAUGAAUAUGUGUGCCUUUUAUGUUGUUAACUUUUUCCACGAGAGUUGGUGAUGUAGGAAGGGACCAGGGCCAUUUCCUGUAUAACUCUUCCUUGUUCUAUGUAGCUCUUUUUCUCUUAUGUUUUAUCCUUUUUUUUUUCCAGGCUAAGCUAGAGGCUCAUUCUCAUUGUCACCAUGCCACUUCUGUCCUUCCCUCCACUUUCAAUUUCUGGUUUCUAGACAGAGGGAACUGCUGGUAUACAAAUAAGCCACGUUCUCCAUCACAGUGUUCAGUUAGUUGUGCUUUGUUUUAGGAAGUUUAGACCACUUAUUUCUUUUUCUAAAGUAUUAGGUGUUAAAUCACAAAUGCGAGUGAGACAUAUUAGAUUUUUCCUCUUGCUAUGUUUCACAGUGGCCUCAGUGUGGUCCAGGUCCCCGAGUAGGGAGUAAGGACAAAGAGGACAGAGCAGAUGUGUAGGGGGUGCCUCUUGGUUGUCAUAGUAAACACACGUCCACUAGCUCUUAUUUCUCUUUUAGAGGCCAUAGCUCUUGUUUUCAUGGGAGGAGGCAGGAGAGCACGGUUCACUGUAUGUUAACAUCAGCUUACAGGAAAGCCAAGCAGCUCGUCUCUGGUGAAACUCACUGGGCAACAUAAAAUAAUAUAAACAAAAACGAAAAGGAUGGUGCUGAAUUUCUUGUGCUGCCCAAGGGAUCUUCUCAAUCUCACUUAAGAAGUUAAUAAAAGGGGUUGCGGAUUUAGCUCAGUGGUAGAGCGCUUGCCUAGGAAGCGCAAGGCCCUGGGUUCGGUUCCCAGCUCCGAAAAAAAGAACCAAAAAAAAAAAAAAGUAGUUAAUAAAAGUACACACAUUCCCAUUUCUCUCCCAACUUCUUGUAAUGUCUUCAGUUAAAAUGGAAUUUGUCUGAUUAUCAAUUUCCAAUACUACCAGAUGGAAUUUUUUACUUCCUCUGAGAGUUAGUUAAAUUGUGGACUCAUCAUUAGAAGCUAAAACUCUGUAAGUCUCAAAGAUUUUUCUUUCACUCUUUUCCACAUUGACUUUAAGUCUUCAGGUCCCACUCGAUGGGAGUUGACAAGCUGUCAUGUAAUGAACUCAUUGAACUCAUCUUGAUGCGGCUGUGAGGAAGAUGUCCAAUCCAUCAGGAACAUCCUACAAGGCCACACAGUCCAUUUGCCUCCUAAAGUGAAGUGGUUUGGCUCUAGGACACUACAAAAACUAUAUGCACUUAGUAGAAACUUUACCUGGAACUUUGAAUUUUGAUCUUUUCCAGCCUGGGGAUCUGAUGAGUAAACUGUCUCCUGAGGCCUCCUCCAUAGGAUAAUUUUUUAAAUCAGCUGUGAAUAGAGCUUGCUGAUACAUUGUGUGAGGCCUUGGUUUGAUUUUCAACACUGAGAAGAAAAAUUAGCAUUCAUCGUCCAAACAUCAAGGAUUCACAACCCCAAGAGAAAUUCUACAACAAGUAAAGAAGCUCUUAACAAUUAAAUUGGUUGGAACUAAGAGAACACAUCUUUUAUUAGAAGAAACUGUACUGGCUGGAAAGCAAUAGCCUUUUUCAAAGUUUCUAGGAUAAGGUAAGUGUAUCUCCUUCUUGGACUCCAUUAGAAACAUGGGAUGUAUGGUUUCUUGGGAGAAAAGCUGAAUGGUUUAUAUCACAGAAGAUACCUUUGUUUCCCCCUCUUGACUCAUGGGAAAGUAAGAGGACAAUUAAAUUGAUUUUAAAUCACAUUUAGCAUUAUGUAUUGAUUAGAUACAAGUGCUCUGAAGCAAAUGUCACAUUGUUCGGCUCCAAAAAGCAUCUCUAUCGGAUAACAGAAGCAAUAUGAGCUUUCAUUUCUGUUAAGUAAUUCAGCCGCUGUUAUAAGUCAUGAGAGUGAGGUCCACACGGCUAGUAAAUGGCUCUCAAACCUUGUUAUUGAAAUGCAGCCUUCAAUUCGGUUUAUUAGCUUGUUCUUUAUUCUCAUUUAUAUUUUAUUACCUUGGAACACAGUCAUAGGAUCCUGGAAAUGGAGUUUUCUUUAAAUAAAUUGUUCCUAAGGUUUCUGAAGUCUUUUGUUAAAUGAUGUCUAGGAGCAGACGUACUGUCGGCCAAGCCAGGUUCUCAGAUAAAGAAGGAUAAAAAUAUUCAUCUGAGUUGGCUGAGAUAGGAUUUCAGCUUCCCUGACUUUAUUUCUGUCAUCAUCAUUUGUGGGGAGUACAUUCUUGGUUGUACUGGCGAGUCAAAGAAUGGCAUAGAGGGCUGGAGGUUGGAUCUGUACAGCAUUAUGUUAGAAAUGAAAUGAAUCUCCUCUAUAGGGUUUCCUGGUGUCUGUCUGUUCAAGUUGGAAAUCUUUCAGGAAGCUAGAAUUGAAAGGCAUAUCCCACAAGAAGUGUACAUGGACAUCCAUCCAAGCCUUUUGUGUUUAUCAAUGUGGCUAUUCAAACCAGUUCCAGCUCAUAUCACCUUCUGGGGAGAAUGAUGCAACGGUUAAGCUUGGCUUUAUCAGUUUCUGUUUUAGCUUGCUGUCUGUCUUACCACUCAGCAUUUUUAUCAAUCAGUUUUGUUCUCUAAUGAUACCAUAUAACCACAUUGCCCUUCAGUGCAAAUACUGUAGACUAACAUGUCACAUAACUAGGCCCAGUGUUCAGUCAUCUAGCAUGUUGCAAACUCAACAUCACUUGUGUUUAAAGCAUGUGCAUGUGGCGGCUAGGCUGUCUGAAUUCUGAUAGUACAUUUAGUAGCCCAGAGGUCAUAGAUAAUCCUCUGAACGUUGCUGAGCCUGUCUACUCAUGUCUACAACAGGGUGACAGAAGAGCAUGUUUCCCGGGCCAUGUGUGGAUACCAGCUGAGUAAGCGCAUAUAAUGUACCUAACAGGUAGUCAGCAGUUAAUAAACCGUAAGAAAAGAACUCAGUGGCAGCAGCUUGGCUAUACACUUCCUUUGUUAAACUAUUACUCAUGUUUAUUCUUGCGGUAUAAAGAAUUGUUGAGAAGGGACAAGUAUAUACAGAAUACUUUCAACAUACUGUGAGAAUCAUAAGCUAUGCUAUUUUUGAGGGCUAUUUCUGUACUAAUGAAUCAGGAGCAUAGAAGUCACCACUCAGGCCUACCACCCAGGAUAGUCAGGCAUCAGGGGAAGGUGAUGGAAAUGGUUUGGGAUUUACCACCUAAAACAUGGGGGAGCCUCUGUCCCUCAUCCCAAGGUGAUUGACAUGACCAUGGGGUAGAUGGAUAUGCAUAUAGAUGUUUAAAGUAGAAUAUGUAAAAUCCCAGGAAACAGGGAACUUGUUUCAGACCAUAUGCAUGGGUUUUGCCUGUAUCUGCCUAUGGAAAGAAAGAGAAAUUGGGAAGCUAAAAUAAGUAGCCGCUAGCUACUCUGGCCAGUCAGUAAAGGAGAUGGUUCUGGGCAGGAUGGAUGGGCAAUACACGGAAAGGCCUAGAAAGGUAGAAUUUGUCACGUGUGUGGCUCCAGAGUGGCUUGAGCAGCAGAUAGGCAAAGGGGGCCAGGUCUCAUAUGAAUAGGAAGCCUGAGGAAUUUUCAGAGUUGUGGUCACUGCUGUACACAGGAAGCUGAAGUCUGGGUGUCAUUCAGAUGACUGUGGGAUGUGAACAAGAAUGGGUGUCCAAUCAUCAGCUUCUAGCACCUACAGCAUUUUCUUCCUGAUUUCCAAAGCAUUCUGAACUAUGAUGUUUCUUUAGGCUAAAGCCAUAAGUAGUUGACUCUUGGCUGUAGGUGAUAAGACAUCAUUAUAGCGGGUAUAACUAAGAUUGUGCAAUCCAGCUCUGUGGACAUCUAAACCAAAAUUGGUAUUGACGUGUUUCCAAUUUUUUGCUUCUGUAAAGAACACAGCAGCACACGAAUCUUGUACAUAUAUCUUUCAGGCACUUGUUCAAUUACUUCCUUAGGACAAAUUUCCAGCAGUGGCUUUAGUGUUUUAGAACUAUGGGAAAAUAUAUAGCAUCUCGGGAGGGUUCGAAUACCUAACAUCAUGGUAGAUAAAGAGUUACUGAAUUUGACGGAGGAGCUGAAAGUGCAGAUGUAGAAACGGAGCAUGCAGUGAGCAGUCAUGCCUGGGUAGACACGCGAGUCUAAUUUUUCUCUUUGGACUUCUUUACGCCACUGCUUCUCCUCACUGGUUGCUGUAAGAGUCAACCGGAUGAGUCUCUAAGAUAGACAGAGUGUUUGUCUCUAUUGACAAGUGCUUGACUGUCACAGCAAAUGAUGAGAGGCCCUAGGGAGCCAUCACCACCCACUUGAGAGAGAUCCACGAAGGGUUUAUGACCCGUUUGAAUCCUGAUUGAGCAUCUCUGUCUUGACCCCAAGGGAACCAAUUGUGUGGAAUACUUGCUCUGUCAGUCUGAACGAUGUGCUUAGAAUUUCUGAGAAAACUCGGAGCCUGGUUAUUUGUACAACAUAAAGAAAAUUAUCAAGAAGACCGGGAAAUGGAAAUAUUUCCUCUAUUCUAAGCCAUGCUGGAUAAAUGCCUCCAUUAUACCAACAGAACCAGUAUUUUAGAUGUUAGCUUAUAGCAUUCAGCUGUAAGUAAUUAUUUGGACAGUAGAUUUUAAGGUUUUUUUAUGUCAAAUAAAAGGAUUUUAUUUCUUUUUGUGCCUUGUUGAUAAUAACUCCAUUUGCUUAUGAUAUAGCAUGUACAUAUUUUUAAAGACAAGUAUUGUUCACUAGUACAUCUAAAGCACAAGUUUCUCCAGUCUUCUGGGUUACUGAAAUUGUGUCUGUGGAGGAAAAAACAAUGCUCAAGAGAUAGGACAAACCUCAGCCAUAGAGAAGAACCUAUGAGCAGGCCUUUUUGAAAAGCCUGUUGCUCCUUACUCAGAUACUAUUGAGCAAAGUCAGACAUGCAAAUGACUGCCAACGUUCUUCACUGUCUGUAGCAAGCUAGCCACCUACUUCCUGUGCAUCUCAAUCACUUUCUAACCUUAUGAAUGUGACACAGUUACCUAGCACUGGAGCUAACAGCUAGACCGGCAUCCUGACCACAGGUUAUAGCCCUGUUAGGAUGAGCAAAAAUCAAUGUCCACUAUUUGCCCAUAGAUGUAUGGCCAUGUUAGAUUAGCUGUGAUGGAGGUUGCAGGAGGCUGCUUUGCUAUUUUCCAAAAUAAUGGCUAGAAUUCCCAGCUAGAGAACAAUAAAUACACACACAUAUAGGGGGGUGGGAGGAAAACGGAGAGGGAGAGGGAAAGGGAGA